rnacentral:lncRNA from 1 species
UAAAAUUGUAAAAAAUUAGCAUGAAUUUUACUUGUGGAGAGUUUUGGAUACAAGUUAUAUCUAUAGGGUUGGAGACCAACACAAAUUUUAGCAUAAGAUUAGUUUAUAUAACAAAUUGUGGUUACAUUAAGGACCAAGUACAUAGUCAUUGCAUUCAUAAGCUAACUGCACUUUUAGCCAAAACUAACAAUAGUUUUCAAUUAAUUUUUAAUAUAAAUUUUUUUAACGAGGAUAAUGCUAACUUUUAUUCCAUUUUUAAAGUUAAUUAUGUUUUCAAUGUUGUACUGAUAUCUUAAUUUUUUUACAGAAUAACACGGUUUAAGAGCUCCUAAACAAUUGCCAGAUCUUUUCUAUUGAUGAGCUUAAACAAACAAACAUCUCCGGCUUGUAAAGCAAAAAAGUUCCAAACAGUAGAGAUAAAGGCAUCGAUGAUGGCCUAUAGAUCAACUUAGCAGGGAACAACUUCUUUCCAAACCUUAUAAUUGCAUUUUGGGGGUUAUUUUCAAAAUAUUUUCGGAAGAAUUUAGUUGGAAAGUAUUGCAGCACAUCAUAUUUAUGUCAUCAUAGUUAGAAAUAAGACACAAAGUUUGGAAGAAUGAUAGCAUAUGGAAGUUCACGAUAUAUAAUUUUCAACGUGGAUAUAUGUAUUAACCUAUACUUACACAUGGUGCUCUCGUUUGAGCUUGAUGAUGAGAGAGGGCUUUUCUCACUUAAACUUCUUAGCUUCUUUCAGAGAUUCAGGUCUUAUAGGACAGGGCCUAACAGGAGAUUCAGAAUCUUUUCUUCUUCUAUUCUUUUUACCUUGUACAUAGGAAACAAAGAAUCAGAAACUGCCACUAUAAUGUACAAAAAACAGUUGCAAGUUGUAACUCAAAAACAACUGUUGAAUCUACAAAAGGAAAGGAUGAUCUAAUUAUGAGACACAUACCAUUAGAAUCUUGAUUGACAGACACUGGCAUCUCAUGGUUUUUUUCUUUAGAUUUAAUACCGUGCGAAUUGAGGCUUCUUUCCACAUCCCUGAUUUGUGUGUCAUUUUCCAACUAUCUAUCUUUAGAAGCAGAUGACACUAGUGCUCUCAGUUUUUUCUUCGGUUGUCCCUGGACUUCUCUUGGAAAUGGUUCAUUCAAUCUUUUCUUCAGCAGUCCCUCGUUAAGUCUCAUGUUUUGGGUGUUGGGACUACUAUCCACAUCUCUAGUUUUUUGUUCUUCUGGCCUUUUCACCGGCUGCUGACUACUGCGUGGCAGCUGCUCUUUGAUCUGAUCAUUGGCAAAUAUGUAUACUUCCAUGUGAGAAGUUCCAAUAUUAUACUCAAACCAUAACAAAUGGCCAUGAUUAAGAGAGUAAUAUGCAACAAACUCUUUCCAACCCUUUUUAAACAAAAUCCCACCAUCAUGAUUAAUCCACUCUACUCUCCAUUCAGUACCAUCCGGAGGCUUAAGAUACAAUGGGUUUGAUAGGCCAGAACCAUAUUUUUCAGUACUUCUGCAAUAUUAUGAACCUGGUGUUAGCAACCAUAAUAACAAUAAGGUGACACACAUUAGUAUGUCUUCACCAAGAUGUUGACAUGUAUUAUGUUAACUAGUUUUUUUUUUUUUGUGACUUUUAUGUUAACUAGUUUAGACAAAUAUAUCAAAUUAUUUAACGAUUUUUGGCUAUAUCUUCAUAUAAUAAUAACAUUAAACUCCCAAUUCAUCCUUCACUAAUAAUUAUAAAUAGUGCAGUAAAAUAGUCCAAACAUAUUAGUCCUAAAUUUUGUAUGGAGAUAAAGAUUAAUCUUUCACCUAUUUUAAAGGAGAGACUAAUUUCAAAUUUUAAAGGGUUAUUUUGCAGCAUUGUUUGCAUAUUUAGAGACUAGGAGUGAAAUAAAAAAAUAUUAAAAGACAGGAUUAUCCAACAUGAAAAUUGGUAGGGACCAAAUUAGUAAUAACAAAAUUAAAACUCAUGCAUAACGAAAAAUGAUGAUGAAUAUGAUAAUUUUUCAAAUCACCGCAAUAUAUUCUAUAAUAUUUCCUAAUCUUGAUUAGUGAAAGUGUUAGCCAGAUCAUUUUUCAUUAACAAUAAUGUAGAUUUAAUCGUAAUUAAUUUUGUAGUAAGAAUACAUACAGAGUACAUAAAAUGAUGUAACCACUUAACAAAUAUGUUUUUAGGUUUUCAUUCAUCUUAUGUAUUUUUUUAUUUUUUCAUGUACUUCUGCUACAAAAUUAAUUAUAAUUAAUCCUACGUUAUUGUAAAUAGAAAAUGAUCUAAAUAAUAAGAAGAAGAAGUUUACUAUUACUAUAUUUGCAGCUAAGAAGCCAUGCAUGUGUAUUGUUCUAUGAAGAAAAUGUUUAUAAACGAGAAAAAUUAUAUAUAGAGGAAUAAAGAGAGAAACUUUUUGUUAAAUAAACAAUAUCUCAAAAGAUAAACAGAUUAAAAGAAAAAGAGGGGAUGGAGAAGACGAGAAAAUGCUUACAAAGUCAUCAUCUUGAAGAGCUUGUCUGAGAACAAUCUUAAAGAAAGAAAUCACAGUAGAAGUAGAAGGAGAAUGCUUGUUUUGUUGACAGCUAGAAGAAGCCAUAGUAAACGGAUGAUGUAUGGAUUUGACUAUUGUUGAGGUUCAGAGUCUCUCUCACCGGCGGUAUUCCUUAAAUAAACUUAUUUUGGGAUAACAAUUAAAUUAAAAAAAAUAACAAGUGAGUACUAAAAUAAGUUAUAUAUAUUUUAAUUUAUUAUUAAUAUAAAUUUUAUAUUUUCAUAUGUAUUAUAUAUGUAUAAAUAAUUUUAAUAUAUAUUUAAUAUAAUUUAAUAAAUUAAAAGAAAAGUUAGGACCGAUUCCUUCAUAAUUGAUUGCAAAGUUAUACAGCGUUAAUUGAUAAUGGUGUUAUUAGAGAGACAAUAAAAAAAUAAGUCAAAAUUUAUUUUAUAAUUAUUUUUGUCUACUUUUUUCUUUUUGCUAUCAAACAUUUUUGAAAUGAUAAUAUGAAAUACCAUUAGACAAGCUAAAUAAAAGGAGAAGGUGCUCAUGGAAAGAAAUAAAAUAGAAGCAUAAUGAAAUAGCACGAUGAAUGUUAGUACAUAGAAUAAAAGGUAAAUACUAAGGAUCAAUUGAGUUAAGUUAGGCUUGAUUUGAUAAAAUUUUUAUUUUUUAAAAAUAAUUUAUAAAAAUUAGCUUUUAAAAGAUAAUUUUUUAAAAUUUGUAAUAUCUAUAUUUAGUAAAUUUACUAAAUAUAAAAUAAAGUGCUUAUACUUUUAUACAUUUUUGAAAAAUUUUAUUAAACCAAAUCUUAGUAAGUUUGAUAAUAGAUUAUUACUUACAAAGAUAUCGAAAAAGAUAGACAAAGGUGUUAGAUAAUUAAAUCAAGAAUAUUUAAGAAAAAUAAAAAUACAACAUCCUAAAACAUUGAAAAAAUUCGAAUCAAAUUGAAUUGGAAUUGGAAACCAAGUUGUAUUUUAAAUUAGAAGGUGGUAGAAACGGAUAAAAAUUCAAGUUAUUUUUCUGGUGCAAGACAACACAAUAUUUAUGAAGAACGAAGAAUCAUGAUUGGAAGUUUCAAGUUGAUGACUAAAUUUGAAGGAUUUGAAGCAAAUUUGAAUAAAUAACUUGACUUGUAAAAGUUUUUAUUAACUUCAUGAAAUAUUACAAGUAUACUUAGUUGUUAUAAAAAUUAUUAUUUUAUUAUAAAACUUUGCCCAUAUAAAGGCUUGAACACAUGUACUUUAAUCAUAUUUUCAUAUGAACGAAAAUGCAUUGAGUUGUUAAUGUUGGAUCGUCUGGUCCCAAAUUAAAUGAAAAAUUUGAUUAUUAAGAGACUUUGAUGUCUACCUAUUUAAAGGUUUAGAUCCUAUAUAACUUUAUUGAAUUGGGUUUGCAAGAAGGAGUUUAUGCUACCUAAUAGAAACAAAAUCAAUUAGCAUGGUCUCAAAUUUACCAAAGUGUAUAUAUUAUACAAUGUUUUGCAAAAUAGCAAAUGCUAAAAGUGUAAAAGAAGCAUAAAACACGUUGAAACUGUCGUACAAAGACAUAGAUAAAGCCGAAAAAGCAAAGUUACAAUUUUUGAGAAGAGAAUAUAAAAGGUAUGAGAUGUCUAACUCAGAAAUUGUUAAGCAAUAUUUUUCUUGUGAUACAAACAGACAAAAGUAUGAAAAAUAUUUCCAUUAGCAAAGUGGUGAAAAAAUCUUUUUGCAUUAUGCUGAUGAAGUAUGGUCAUAUGGCGACUGCAAUAUUAGAGUCCCACAAUAUGGAUACUAUGACGAUUGCAGAGUUGUAAGGAACCAUGGAAAGCCAUAUUAGCAUAAUAUUAGAGAAGUUAGAAAAAUCAAUUGAAGAAGCCCUGAAAAGUCGAGUGAAUUUAAACAAUGGUGCAGAAUCAAGCUGUACAUAAGAUGGACGAGACCGUACUUUCAAUUUUCAAAGUAAAGGUAGAAGAAGUUCCAGAGGCAGAGGUGGUGGCAAUUAUAGCCAUGGAAGUUAUAAUAAUUUUACACCACCUAAUCAAGGAAGAGGUGGAAUAAAUUCCAGGUUUGUCAACUAAAGAAGAAAUCGAGACAAUUUUUAUCAAGAACGAACUAAUUUCUACUGCUUUCAUUGUGAAAAGUAUGGACACAAAGUGGUAGACUGCAAAAUCAAAAUAAUGAAUAAUAAUCAAGCACAUGUUGCAGAAAAUUAACAUCAAAAUACUGAUGAUAAUCCGGAUAUUCAAACUUUAUUUUUUACAUGUGACUCAUAUGCUGAAGAUAAAAAUAUAUGAUACUUGGAUAAUGGUUGUAGUAAUCAUAUGUCUGGUAGAAAAAUUUCUAUUGAAGUUUGGUAAGAGUACAAAGAUCCCUAUUGAAGAAAAAGAACAAAUACCAAUUAGAUUGAAUGAUUGUUCUCUGAGUUAUAUUUUUGAUGUUUUCUAUACUCCUGAACUUGAUUACAAUUUAUUGAGUACGAGGCAGUUAUUUGAGAACGGAUAUAAAAUAAUUACAUAUAGUGGAUAUUUGCAUUAUAUUUGACAACAACAAAAAGUUCAUAGAUAAAGCAAAGAUGACUUCAAAUAAAAUGUUUCCAUUGAAAAUUCAACAUGUUAAUCCUUCUUGCAUGAGUUAUGUAAUAAUUUAUGAUAGCUGAGUGUGGUAUAUUCAGUUUGUGCAUUUUUAUUUUUCUGGCCUAAAUUACCUGUCAAGAAAAAGACUUGUUUCUGGUCUGCCACAGAUUCAUAUUCCUAAUUGUGUUUGUAAAAUUUGUCAACUGAAAAAGAAGCACAGAAAUCUAUUUCCUAUAGAAAAGUCAUGAAGAGCUUGAAGAUUACUUGAAAUUGUGCAUUCAGAUCUUUGUUUUAUUAAGAUUCUAAGCAAUAGUAAUAGCAGGUACUUUAUCACUUUUAUUAAUGAUUUUAGUAGAUAUAUAUGGAUAUACUUUCUAUCGUUAUAAAGCAUGCUCAUAUUUUAGUAUAUAGAAAACAUACUCAUGUAUGUCGCAACAAUGGUUCAUAUUUUAGUAUAUAGCAGGUAUCCAAUGAAAGAUGUUCGUGAUAAAAUUUCGAAGGAAGUUUGGAGUGAAAAGAGGUUUUUCAUUAAUCAUUUUCAGAGUCUUUGAGUAUAUUGCUUAUGCCCAUAUUUUAUAUCAAUUAAGAAAGAAGUUAGAUGACAAAGAUAAAACGUGUAUCUUUAACGGUUAUAGCACAUACUCAAAAGCAUACAAGUUGUAUAAUCUAGAAUCAAAGAAGGUGAUCAUCAGCAAAAAAUAUGACGUUUGACGAGAAAGAUAUUUGAGACUGGAACAGAACGACAGAAAAGCAGCCAAUUAUAAUUCCAAAUUCAUGUGAUGAAGUAGAACAAAGACAACCUAACACAACUAAAUAACUAAAAUCUUCUAGAAGACCUCAAAAAAUAUAGACUACCUGCUAGAUUGGCAGAUUAUGAAAUUGGCAGUGAUGAUGAUCCAUCCGAUGAAGAAAUUAUCAACUUUGCUUUAUUUUCAGAUUGUGAGCCAUUAAAAUUUGAAGAAGUCUCUAGAGGCAACAAUUGAAAAAAAAUAAUAGAUGAAAAGAUUCAUGCAAUUGAAAAGAAUGACAUAUGGGAGCUGAUAGAUUUACCAUCAGAUAAGAAGUCAAUUGGAGUAAAGUGGGUUUACAAAAUUAAGUACAAUCCCAACGAUGAAAUUGAUCGUUUCAAAGCAAGAUUAGUUGCUAAGGGAUACAAACAAAAAUCCAGUAUUUACUACUUUAAAGUAUUUGCUCCUGUUGCUAGAUUAGACACUAUCCAUAUUAUUAGUUCACUAUCGGCUUAAAAUAAAUUAAAAUACAUCAAAUGUAUAUUAAGUCUGCAUUUUUAAAUGGCACUUUAGAAGAAGAAGUGUAUGCUGAGCAACUUGCAGGAUAUGAAAUUUCUGAAGAAGAAGAAGAAGAAAAAGUUUAUCAAUUGAAGAAAGUUUUGUAUAGGUUGAAGCAAGCACCAAGAGCGUGAUACAAGAAGAUUAUUUAUUCUUUUUUUCACUUAGAAUGGAUUCAGAAGAUAUCCAUUUGAACAUACUCUUUAUAUCAAGUUUGUUGAAUCUGGAUAAAUCUUAAUCGUGUGCCUUUAUAUUGAUGAUUUGAUCUUUACUCGCAAUAAUUUGAAGAUAAUUGCAGAAUUCAAAAAGACUAUGAUAAAACAAUUUGAAAUGACAAAUAUGUGUUUGAUGUCUUACUUCCUCGACAUCAAAGUCGUUUAGAAAGAUGACGGAAUCUUUAUUUCACAUAAGAAAUAUGCAAAUGAUAUUUUGAAGAAAUUUCAGAUGGUACAUUCCAAAUCAGUUCUUAUUCCAGUCGAAGAAAAGUUUAAGUUGUUGAGAGGAGAUAAAGGAAGAACAGUAAAUUCUACUUAUUACAAAAGCUUGAUUAGAAGUCCGAGGUACUUAACUGCAACUAGACAAGAUAUUGUGUUUGGAGUUGGAUUGCUUAGCAGAUUUAUGGAGGAGCCUUAUACCAACCAUUUGCAAAUAGGGUUGUCAAACGGGCGAACCCAAACUAUUUAGGCUUGACCCGUUUAAGUUCGCUUUAUUCGCGGGUCAUAACCUUUUAGCCUAGACCUUUUAUGGCGAGCCCGAUGGGUUAAAUGGGUUGGUCCGUUUAUCCUUUUAUUUAUAUUUUGAAAAAUAUUUUGACAAGACAUAUCACUUUUAGGUUAAAAACUUAAAUAAAUAGUAUUUUUUUUAGUUGAUGGAUUAGAUUUUCGGGUUGAAUCGAGAGAAAUGUCAAUUAAAAAUGCUACUUUUUAAAAAAAUAAAUAAAUGGACCGCCGGUUUAGCUGGCGGACUAGCCCAUUUAACCUUUCAUUUUUUCGGGUUAAACGGACGGGUUAAUCGAGCUCAGCCCGUUUAACCUGAAAUUUAAAUGAACUUAAUUUUAGAGGCAAGCCCCACCCAUUUAAAUGGGUAAAUGGGCUGGCCUUAUAGUUUAGCCCAUUUUGACGGCUAUAUUUGUAAGCGGCAGAAAGGAUUCUUUAAUAUAUCAAAGGUACUUUAAAUGAUGGUAUUUUUUAUGAAUAUACUAAUAAAAUAAAUAUUGUUGAUUACAUUGAUUGGGCUGAAGAUAUUGAAACAAGAAAAAGUACUUCAAAAUUUGUAUUUCAUCUUGGUUCUGGUGUAAUUUUAUAUUCUUCGAAAAAAUAAUCUGUAAUAGCAUUCUCUACGGUAGAAGCAGAAUAUAAAGCAACAAUAAGUUAUGCAAUGCAAGCAGUAUGGAUAAAAAAAAUUCUUGAGAAAUUGAACAAAAAAUAAAGUACUUCAAUAACGAUAUUUUGUAAUAACAAGUUAGCUAUUGCACUUUGUAAAAAUUUUGUGUUUUAUGGAAGAUCGAAAUAUAUUGAUAUUCAGUUUCACAUAAUUAGAUAAUUAGUGAAUAAAAAAAAAAUUUUGAUUGAGUAUUUUCCUACUAAAGACUAAGUACAGUUAUAGAUAUCUUUACAAAAUCAAUAAUUAAUUUUGCAAGUUUAGUUUAAAGAAUACAAUGUUAGAACAUUUAAAAAUAGUACAAAUAUAACAUACUAGAGGUCAUAAUGUGUCCAAAACGGACUACACAUGCAAUGAGAAUGUGACAAAAACAAUAAUAUGAAGAAUAGAGUCGCAACCAAUUUUAUUACAGGAAAAAUCGGAUAAAACUGUUAGUUUGCAAAAAAUUGAUAUUUUGAAGAUAUCUAGAAUUUUGAUUAUGCACAAAGAAGGGCGAAAACCUAAUUUCAGUGCAUACUUAAUACAUCUAUUUAAAACGAUUAUCUUUUGAAUAUAUUAUGUCAAUUAUUUAUGCUUUAAUUAGUAUUUAUAUUUUUUGUUUUUUUUUUCACAAAUUGCAAUAAAAGGAUAUUAUUUACACAAAAAUAAUAAAUAUGAGCAAAAAUUUAAGAAACUUGCUUUUUUUUUAAUGAAUAUAAUAGAUGAGCGUUAGCAAGCCAGCAAUUUUUAUGAUUUAUAGCCAUUAAAUAGUCAUGAAUAAUGAUUUUAAUAGUGUAAGAUUGGUGUGAGAUUUUAUCCCAUGACUCACUUUUUUUUGCUGGUUACAUGCUGACCAAAAUUUAAUAAAAUUGCUGGCCCAUAUUAAUCUAUAAAAAAACCUAAACUAAAUGCAGUGACAUCCCUAAUAAAUAGUAGAAAAAAAUGUAUUGUUUAAUUAUAAACUGGAGCUUGUUAUUUAUUUACUUCUGACCUUUUUUUAAUUAUUUUAUUGAUUUAUGUUACCACGCGAAACCAAAAAAAAAGGAAUAAAAAAACAAACGGAUCAAAAUGUCAUCAAAAUUCAAAACCCGUUGUUCUUAUAGUAAUCCCAAAUACCGUCACAAAUAAUAAUAAUAAUAAUAAUUUAUAUGCUAAAUAUCAAAUAACAAUGAUGAUNNNNNNNNNNNNNNNNNNNNNNNNNNNNNNNNNNNNNNNNNNNNNNNNNNNNNNNNNNNNNNNNNNNNNNNNNNNNNNNNNNNNNNNNNNNNNNNNNNNNNNNUUUAUUAUCUUUACUUUUCUGUUGAUACACUAUUUUCCUUUAUUUUUCUUACUUCACAUACAUUGUUUUUUUUUAUUAUUAUUCUAUGCCUUAUUCACUUAGAAUACUUGCAACACAAGUACACAACUCAAACAUAUAUCCAGGUUAUCCAGGUUUGAACUUAUUCUAUUUAAAAUAUUAGCAAAAAAAAUAUUAAAGGUAGUUUUUAUUGAUGAAGAAGCAAAAAUAGUAUAAUUCUUUUUUUAGAGUUUAUCUAUUCUAUGUUCUAAAAACAUAUGUUAAUAAGAUUAUAAAAUAAAAAAAUUAUUAAAAAUAUAAAAAAUUUAAAAAAAAAUGACAAAUUAUAUAUUUAACUNNNNNNNNNNNNNNNNNNNNNNNNNNNNNNNNNNNNNNNNNNNNNNNNNNNNNNNNNNNNNNNNNNNNNNNNNNNNNNNNNNNNNNNNNNNNNNNNNNNNNNNNNNNNNNNNNNNNNNNNNNNNNNNNNNNNNNNNNNNNNNNNNNNNNNNNNNNNNNNNNNNNNUCUAACUUUUUGAUUCACGAACAUUUAAGUUUUUAAAAAUUUAAAAAUAUAUUUAUAUUUUUGACUUUUUUAAAUUAAAAUGUGGUGGACACAUUGAUUCCUGGGUCUAAUUUGUCUCAUUUUAAAAACUCUUUCACAUAUAUAUUCGUAUUAACCAGGUCAGUACAAUGGGAGUCACAUUUAAUUUUUUCGUUGGGUAUGAUAAACUCAUGUGAACAUGAAAGAUCGAUAUAUCCAAAUUUUGAAAAUGUUAGAGUCUUAAAUAUAUUUUUAAAUUAUCGAGAACUUAAAUGUUCACGAAUCAAAAGGUUAAUGAUCUAUUUAUCUUUUUCUCAUUUAAAUUUUCAAUAUAUUUAUUUUGUAGUUAUUAAAUGAAAAUAUUUAAAUUUUUCACUAAUGAUAAAUUUUUCAUGUAUCCUUAAAAUAUGUAUUAGCUAAAUCUUUUUUUUUAUGGGUGAACUGAUGAAUUUAUUUUAGGAAUAUUACAUGAUAAAAUAAAAAAUAAAAAAAAUUGCGUUCAGAAAUUUAAAAUAUUCCUAAUAUUGAAUAUGUCUAUUUUGCUUCAGAUUUUGAACGAUCACUUUUCUUCUCCAACUUAUUUUUUUUAUUAACUGUGAUAUUCUCUCCAAAAAUAUUUUUUUAAGUAAUUUUUUGUUUUGUUUUUUUUACAAAUUGCAAUGAAAGGAUAUUAUUUACACAGGAAUAACAAAUAAGGGCAAAAGUUUAAGAAACUGGCUUUUUUUUUUUUUGAAAGAACAUAAUAUAUCUAUGAGAAAAAUUAAACUAAACGUAGUGAUAUCUCUAAUAAAUAGUAGAAAAAAAUGUAUUGUUUAAUUAUAAACUGGAGCUUGUUAUUUAUUUACUUCUGACCCCUUUUUUAAAUUAUUUUAUUCAUUUAUGUUAACUCCAAAAAAAAAAGGGUCAAAAUGUCAUCAAAAUCCGUUGUUCUUAUAGUAAUCCCAAAUUCCAAGGUACCGUCACAAAUAAUAAUAAUAAUUUAUAUGCUAAAUGACAAAUAAGGGAAUCUGGGAAAUUAACAGAAAAUUUUAAAAGAGAGAUGCAUGCUUUGGAAGUUGUGGUCUACAUGCACUGGAUAAUCGACGGACGGAGAAUCCAAGAAAGAAAAGAAAAAAAAAUGUGAUGUACAUGCACUGGAUUAUUAUGGCACUUGUAUUGUUGUGCUAUACUUAACUAUACCAAAUGGUAGGGCUGGUAAUGGAUAGGAUAGGAUAGGGUAGGGUUUGGAUUCUACCCUAAUUCUAUUUGCGAGUUAAAAAUUUUAUUAAAAUUAUAUCUUAUCCUACCCGCAGGUUGAAAAUCUAUCAACCCUAAUCUUACUCGCACCUUAAAAUUCUAAAUUCUACUCUAUCCUACCCUACCUGUAGAAAUAUCACUUUUUUAUGAAUAUUACAUGAUAACAUGAGAAAAAAAAUUGAAAAAAAAUUGCGUUCAGAAAUUUAAAAUAUACCUAAUAUUGAACAUGUUUAUUUUGCUUCAGUUUUUAAAGUAUCACUUUUCUUUUCCAACUUAUUUUUUGUAUUAACUGUGAUAGAGAAAGUUUAGGGACCAGUAAUUUUUGUGUUUUGUGACCAUCACUUAACCAUAAAAAAAGUGAAUGAUUUUUUAUCAUUGAAUAUAAUCUCACAGCAUUAAAAAUAUUAUUGAUGACCAAUUGAUAAUUACAAAAUAUAAAAGUUAUUGACUUCCUAACACUCCUCAACUUAAUAUUCUCUGCAAAAAUAUUUUUUAUGUAGUAAAAAAAAUUAGCUUCUUAAGUUGUUUUGCUUUUAUGUAUUUUCUAAUUUUGACCCUCUCCUUUGCUUGUGAUGCUUUUAAGAAUUUAUAGAGCAUGAAAGAUAUUUGAUAUGAUUGUACUCCCAUAUCUUCUAAUUCAUUUCUUCAUUUAUUUAAAAACUUUUGAUAGAUUAAAAAGUGACCGUUGAUGCUUUAUACCUUCAUUUUGUAGCGUACUACUUAAUCAUGAUCAUAACACAUGCAGCAGGUUUAAUUUGCAUGUUUGUUGAUUGGAUGUCACAGAGGCAAUUUUUGUCUUGAGCCUUCGUUUUUGGAGAAUCUGGGAAAAGUAAGACACAUGCUUUGGAACACUGCAAAAGAAAAAUAUUUGACGAUAACUCCAAAGAAAAGAAAGAAAAGAAAGACUUAAUUAACUAUGAAGAAAAUGGCAACAACCAACAAUCUUUUCAAAUUUGUUUAUGUAAACUGCAAACACAUUAAUGAUAACUUUUAUAAUAUAUUUCCAAUAAAAUACAAUUAUGAAGAAGAUAUAUAAUAAUUAAAAUAAAUUUACCAAUUAAAUCCUAUAAUCUAAAUUUAAUUCAAUAAGUUGGUUAUUUACAAGAGAAAUAAAAGGUAAAGUGCUUAUCAAUUAAGAAGUGAAAAUUUGUUAAAGUUCUUUCAACAGCUUCAAAAUCGAUGUUAUUAUCUCUUUCACACUGAAAUUGAUACAUUAUAAAAAAUGAACCCGUUCCUAAUCUUCCACAAAGACCAGCUUCGUUCAACGGAUAAUUUCAUUAUUGAUGUUCUUCUUCUCUUGCUAUCAUAUCUUUUUUUUUUUUUUGGACAUUUUUCUCAACAGGUUUAAUUCGCAUGUUUGUUGAUUGGGUGUCUUAGAAGCAAUUUUGUUGAAGUCCAAUAAAAAAUCUUGAGCCUUCGUUUUUGGUCUUCAGGAAUAUUGGGCUAUAUUGGCCAGACUUCUUCUAUUUUUCUUCUAAUUUUUCUGUUUUCUUUUUUUGGUAUCGAUAGAACUGAAUGUUUUUUAUACAGAAUAAUAAGUGCAAACUAAACUAUCAACUACUCUCUGGGUGCAGGGUUCUGGGCCUGGGCGGGUACGGGUUGUGGUCCGGGUCAGUCUUCUGGCCCAUGGCCAAGUCCAAAAAAAAAAACUAUCAACUACUCUCUUUUUUUUUUUGGAAAAUAUUAUCUUGGAUCGGACAAAAUUUGGUAUUCACUCACACGAACAUUGAAAAAAUUUGAAAUCAAAUUUAAUUAAAAGUAAAAAUUAAAUUAGAUAGUAAAAACUACAAGAAUGUAAGUUAUUUUUUUAGUGCAAAACAACAUAAUAUUCAUAAAAAAAAUGAAGAAUUAUAAAUGAAUUGAAAGCUUCAAGUUGAUGACUAAACUUAAAUUAAAGAAUUUAAAGCAAAUUUAAAUAAAGAAUUUAACUAGUCAAAAUUUUUACUAAAUUCAUGAAAUAUUACAAAUUUCAUAUGAAUGAAAAUAUAUUAAGUUAUUAGAAAUUUUCUUAUCUUUUGUGAAUGUGUUAGUGAAUUUAAAAAAUAAAAAAUAUAAUAGUAUUAUUUAAAUGAAUGAAUAAUCUGAAAUUAUUUGUGUGGAUAUUACACUUAAAAAAAUAGAUAUAAGAUAGAAUAUGUGUAAGUACAUUAUAAAUUUAUAGUUUAACUUUUAUUCUACUUUGUUUAUUGUUUUGUGUUUUGUGUUUUGUAUUUUAUUUUGUUUUUUUAUAACAUAUUUCACUUAUAACUGUGUUAAAUCUUUACUUAAAAAAAUAUGAGAGUAAUUAAUUACAUUUUAUCAUUAAUUAAUUGAUAAUAUGAGAUAUGUCAUUAACUAACCUUAUUUGGAAAAAAAAAUUGAACUUUAAAUAGGAGGGUUUGAUCAUUAGAUAAAAUUAUAAAAUCAAUUUGAUUAUUUUCUCCAUUUAUAGACCAAAUUGAUUAUUAGAUAAAAGUUGGAAACUAAUUUAAUUAUUAUUCAAUUUAGUAACCAAUUUAAAAUAUUUUAUGUUAUUAAAUUUUAAUAUAUGUUUAAUAACUUACGAUUAGAAUAAUCAAAUUUUAACUGCUUUGUUGGAAUAUAAAUUGAUUAUUAUCGUAUAUUCACUACAAGAAAUACUAUUAUAAUCGACAGCCAAAUCGACGGCGCUAGCCAUCGCUUUAAAACGGGUCGAUUUUUUAAAAAUAUAAUAAAAUCGACGGCUUCUCAGGUUGUCGAUAAACUUUUAAUAAAAUCGACAACCAUUGUGUCGAUAAUAUAAAAUUAUGAUUUUUACAUACUUAAAAAAAGCGACACCCAGGCUGUCGAUAAUAUUAUUUAAAAUCGACGACCCAAGUGUCGAUAUUUAAUUUAUUAAAAUUGACAAAUUAACUGUCGAUUUAAUUAUUAAAUUACCGAUAACAAUAUCGUCUAUUUUCUCUUUUUUUUGUCUAUUUUAAAUUAAAAAUUGACAACAUUGCCUUUUAUUUUUGUCUAUAUUAAAUUUAAAAAUCGACAAUAAUGCCAUCGAUUUUAAUAACCAAUUUUUUUUUUAGUUUUUUCCAUUUGAAAAUAGUAGAUAAUUAAUACAAAUAAAUUUUUAAAUAUAAAAAUAAAAUUUAUACUAAAUAUUAGAUAAUGAGGUAAANNNNNNNNNNNNNNNNNNNNNNNNNNNNNNNNNNNNNNNNNNNNNNNNNNNNNNNNNNNNNNNNNNNNNNNNNNNNNNNNNNNNNNNNNNNNNNNNNNUGAAAUAAAAUAUUUUUUUGUGAUAUAAUUUAAAUAAAUUUAUUAAAAAAAUUAAUAAUCUAAAAUAAAAAAUUUAUAUUUUAUAUUCCAUGCAUUACAAAAAAAAUUGAACUAAACUAUAUUUAUAGGGUAUUUCAUUGAUAAUUCGAAUGAGACCAAUUUAAAUUACCUUCGGCUGCUACUUGGUGGUAAUUCCAAUUAGUCCACUUUAAAUUAGAGCUGUAUUCACAUGCAUUUUCACAUGCAUGUAAUUCGAUUCACUCUCAUUCGAAUUACUAAAACAUUUCGUCCAUACAUAAUUCAAAUUGUACUGCUUUGAAUUAGUAUUGAAUUUUAAAAUUCGAUGGGUCUCGUUCGAAUUACAUCAAAAUACUUGGUAAAUCUUUGUAACAUUUUUCGUUUUGGUAGAUAUGUGUAAUAUUGGCUUCCAAUUAAUUUAUAUAUGCAUCUUGACUUAUAAAUAACUAAUAAUAUAAAUAUAAAUAUAAAAUCUAUCCACAUUUUUUGUUUUCAAAAAUAUAAAUAUAGAUAAGUAAUAAUAAAUUAUUAAUCACAAUAUAUAAUAAAUUAUAAAAUAUACAUAAAUAAUUAAUAAAAAAUAAACAAUCAAUCAAAUACUACUUACUAAAUAAAAAAAAUCUUACAUGAUCAAUUGAUAUUCUAUAGAUCACAUGUUGGUCAUGCUACCUAAUCAAUCUGUAAUAUUUAUCUAUCAUAAAAAUACAUACCUGCAUUCAUAUACUGAAAAAAUUUCAAUGCAUGUAUGUUCUCCAAAUUCAACGACCGCAUGAAAGUAGGCUUUACAAACGUAUGCUGGUUUACUAGUGCAUUUGCCACCUCUGUCACAUCUGCCUUCAUAGUGCCGUUAGCCUGAUCUUUGUCUCCACCCGGAUCAACGACCUCAUAGUUACUUUCAAACUCCUCGUCGAUGAACGAUAUCUGUGAGGGAGUUUCCAUAUACACUAAAAACAUAUCUUGCAUGCUUGCUUCAUCGGUUACAUAUUUGGUUUGAAACUGAAUGAACCCACCAAAUACGAAUAUAGGAUACCUGUACAAAAUGCACGACACUCUCCUAGAUAUUUGAGAAUUCAUUUUUCUCACAAAUUACACCUUUUGAUUCUUCAAAUGACAAUGUGAGUGAAAUAACGAUAUCUAACGGAUUUUCACACACAAAUUUCACUCAUUCAACUGUUUAUAACAAAAUCUGUCUAUGAUAAUAAACUUUUAACAUCACUCUAUCAUCCAUUAUGAUACAUUCACAUCAAAAGCUCUCAAUCUUAGUAAAAUUGGUGUUGAAACAAUGAAGAAGAAGAAAGAAUCAGAGGGGUUUGAGAAGAGAGAAUUGAGAGACAAAGAAAAAUGGAGACUUCAGCUAAUAGUGAGUAUAUAUAAAAACAGAAAUCGGAUAGUCCGACCGCUCUUUAGCCGGUUUAAAUUUUAUAAAGAACUAAAAUCGGACCGUCCAAUUUUAGUCAUAUACGAAUUCAAAAUUAUAGCAUGCAUGAAAUCGGACCGUCCGAUUUUAGUCAUAUACAAAUUCAAAAUUAUAGCAUGCAUGAAAUUGGACCAUCUGCUUACCAUAUUCAAUUUUUUUUGCACACACAAAUUGAACCGUCCGAUUUGUGUUCCCCUUCUGCUGCAAAAAAAAUGAACGGUCCGACUUCUUCCCCCUAACUUCGAAAAUCUAAUGCCGUCACAACACUCUAUUAACCCCUCGUACCUCCAUAACUCAGCGUUACACACACUUCAUUGUCAUAUUAAAAAUAAGGAAAAGUCUAGGGAACUAAUUCUCUAACUAGCCAAUUUGAACAAUUCAAUUAAUUAUAUUAAUGGUUCGAAUCCCGCCUUGUGCAUGCAGCAAUCCAUUGGCCAGCGGCAAACCCUUAAAUGGAGCUCAGUACCGCGACGGAUUAUUCUUUGACCUGCCGGGUUGAGGGAUACCGUGGGAAACCAAAAAAAUUAAUUAUAUUAAUUUUAAUUUAUUAAUUAAUUUGAAUCAUCCUCAUUAAUGAUUAUUUUAAAAAAAUAGGAUUUGCAAUUAAUUGCCUAAUUGGAACAUGAUUCACGGUCCUAUUAGGACUCUUCCUCUUUCUACACAUUAAGUGUGUUGUUGUGCUUAAUUCAUUCCGCCGACGUCCUCAACAACGUGAAGACCGAGGCCCACCUCUACUGUGCUACGCUGUUCUUGCCACCUUUUGUGUUAUUGUUCCUGAUCGGGGUUCCAUUGUUGUUCAUUGUUUGAUUACGUUCCGCUGCAAGGACCAGCAUGCCGCGUGACCACCGAAUCCCCACCUCCGCCGUGCUUUGUUGUUCUUGCCGCUAUUAGCGUUACCGUUCGUCAUCGGGAUGCCAUUGUUGUUCAUUGCUUGAUCACCUUCCGCCGCAAGGACCACCACGCGGCUGCAUCUUUGACCGAAGUCGUUCGCGGUGGUUAGAGAGUUUUUCCCGUCUAACUGUUGUACGCAAAGAAGUCGACGUCGCAGUAUACGGCUUCCGAUAGAGAGCAUUUGUCCAUGGACCAAUCAAUUUCAGAACAAAGAUUGAAUAGCCCGUUCGUUGAUGUGAGUGAUAAUAAUUCAAUGGAAGGCUCUGAGGUUGCAAUUCAAUCUGUUUCCAAUGUACGUGGGGGAAAGAGGAUGUUGUUUCGUUUUUUUUUCUUUUCAUGCAAGUGAAUUGUAUUUGGUUAGUCUCGUGUGAAUUUUUUUUAUAUACUAAGUGGAUACGUUUUUUUUUAGCUAAUGCAUUUUUUUAUUUACGAUUUGGAGAUUUUUUUUAUUAGUUUUGCAUGAUUUUUUUCUUAUGUUUUGUAUGUUUUUUCCUUUAGGAUUUGGAUGAUUUUUUUAUUAGUUUUGAAUGAUUCUUUUUUUUGUGUGUGUUUUGUAUGUUUUUUUUUAGAAUUUGGAUAAAUCUUUAUCUUAUAUUUUAUUAUUUUUUUUAGAGUUUGGACAUUUUUUUUAGAAAGAGAAAUUAGAAUUUGCUUGAUAAAUAGUAAAAGGUAAAUUAGAGUAAGAAGAGGUAAUUAAUAAUCGUUAAUUUUGUAUCCUUUAAAAAUUAAAAUUUAAAUAAUCAUCAAUGAAUGGCAAUUAAUGAGUAUAGAGUGUAGUUCAAAAAUAUUUGUUGGCUAUAUUCAUGUUGGUUUUCUAGCGAAAUUGUAAAAAUAAUGAGCCAUAUGAUGGAAAUAUGGGAAACUAACUAAAAAAUUGAAAAGUGAGACAUGCAUGCUUUGGAACAAGUAAAUAAUACUGCACAAAAAAAUAAUUGACCGACAAUUUAGAACAAAUUUUUUUUGGUCUAAAUUAAAUGUGAAAUUUAGAAAUUAUGUCUAAAAUCUAGCGUAUAGAAUGACUUUCUUUAUUUAAUAGGUUUAAUGGAUUAAGAAAAUGUAUGAUUUCUCGUUACUGAUACCACAUAUCAGUAUUAGUUCAAAAAUAAUUUUCAAUGUAAAUUUUAAUUUUAAAUGAGUUUAGUUACUGUACUGGUCAAAAGUGAUACUUAAAAAAUAUUUUAUUAAUAUUAUGGAAAUCAAGAAUUAUGUAUGGAAUUUAGUUAUAUUUCAAGAAUCUUAUUUUAAUUUUUAUCAUUUAUUACUUAAAAGUAGAAAUAAAAAAAAAAGUGGGACUCAAAAUAAAAUUUAGGCACAUAACAAAAAACUUAUUUUAUUUUUUUUAUUUUUUUGUCUAAAUUAAAUGUUUUAAAAAAUUGUAUCUGAAAUCUAUGGGCAUACUAAGAACCUUAGUUUGUUCUUUUUUAAUUUUUUUUAUCUAAAUUAAAUGUGAAAUUUAGAAAUUAUGUCUGAAAUUUAGCGCAUAAAAAGAUCUCUUUAUUUAAUAGGUUUAAUGGAUUAAGAAAAGGUUUAAUUACUCUAUUGGUCCUUAUAGUUUUGCAAAAAUUUUUAAUUAGGUCCCUAUACCUUUUUUUCUUUUAAUUGGGUUCCUACACCAAUUCUUUUUUAAUUAGGUAUCUCUUAGCAGUAAUUGGCUUAUUAAUUGUACAGGAACCUAAUUAAAAAAAUUGGUGCAAAGAUCCAAAUAAAAAAAAAGUGUAGAAACCUAAGUAAAAAAAAAAAAAAUUAGUGUAGGGACUCAAUUAAAAAGAAAAAAAAUAUAGAGACCUAAUUAAAAAUUUCACGAAACUAUAGGAACCAACAGAGUAAUUAAACCUUAAGAAAAUGAUAUAGUUUCUUGCUACUGAUACCAUAUAUCCUUAUCACUUUAAAAAUAAUUUCUAAUGCAAGUUUUAAUUUUAAAUUAGUUUAGUUACUGUACAGGACAAAAAUGAUACCAAAAAAAUAUUUCAUUAAAAUUAUAAAACUCAAGAAUUAUAUAUAAAAUUUAAACAUAUUUAAAUAAUUUUAUUUUAAUUUUUAUCAUUUAUUACUUAAAAAGUAAAAAUUAAAAAAAAAAUGAGACUCGAUAUAAAGUUUAGGCACAUAUAUAAGAGGAAACCUUAUUUUAUUUUUUUAUUUUUUUGUCUAAAUUAAAUAUUUUUCAUAAAUUAUACCUUAAAUCAAUGUGCAUAAAGGAAUUUUAUUUUUUUUUAUAUGUUUGUCUUUUUAUUAGAGAUAUCCACUGAUUAUUUGAAAUUUAGGCACAUUCAGCAAAUCUUAUUUUAUUUUGUCCAAAUUACUUAAAAGGUAGAAAUAGAAAAAAGUGGAACUCGAUAUGAAAUUUAGACACAUAACAGAAAACCUUAUUUUAUUCUUUUUUAAUUUUGUCUAAAUUAAAUGUAAAAUCCAAAAAUUAUACCUGAAAUCUAUGCGUAUAGAAGGAACCUUAUUUUAUUUUUAUUCAUCAUAUAUUGUCUUCUUAUUAGAGAUGUCCCUGAUUCUUUGUGAAUAAGAAGAACAUUUAUAGCUAUGACUUUUUCUAACUUCAAAUAAAUAAAUAAAUAAAUAAACAUUAUCUAACUUUAUUUAAUAGGUUUAAUAAAUUAUGAAAAUGAUACGGUUUCUUAUUAUUGAUACUAUAUCAGUAUCACUUAAAAAAUAAUAUUCAAUACAAGUUUUAAUAUUAGAUAAGUUUAGUUAUUGAAUAAGUCAAAAAUGAUACCUAAAAAAUAUUUUAUUAAAGUUAUAGAAUUCAAGAAUUAUUUCUAAAAUUUAGGCACAUUCAACUAAUCUUAUUUUAAUUUUUAUCAUUUUUUAUUCAAAUUACUUAAAAAAUAGAAAUAGAAAAAGGUGGGACUCAAUAAGAAAUUCAGGCACAUAAGCAAAACUUUAUUUUGUUCUUUUUUUUUAGUUUUUUUUUUAAAUUAAAUGUGAAAUUAAAAAAUUAUGCUUGAAAUCUAGGCACGUACAAAGAUCUUAUUUUGUUCUUUUUUAUAUGUUAUCUACUUAGGAUUUGGAUCCUCUAAAGUUUGAAUUUCACUUUAGAGAAUAAAGUGUGAUCUCUCACCAUUGAUUUUAUAGGUGGGACCAAGAAUAAAUAUGAAAGAGAAACUAUUUAAACUUUAUUCUCUAAAGUGAAAUUCAAACUUUAGAGGAUCCAAAUCCAUCUACUUAUUAGAGAUAUUUACUUAUUCUCUCUUAACAAGAAAAAUAUUCUUGGCUAUGACUUUUUCUAGCUUACAAAAAAAAAAAAAAAACAAGCAUCAUCUAACUUUAUUUAGGGCCAUUUCGCAAACUUCAAAAGUAAUUUUUUUGAACUUUUAACUUAUGAAAAGUAGUAACAUUAAUGUCUAGUGCAAGUUUCAAAACCAAAUUGCAGCUUUUUAAGAAGCUAUUUAAGAGCUUAUAGAUAAGUUAAAAAAAUAACUUCUCUCAUAAUACUACUACUUUUUAUCACAUUUCUAUAAAAUAAGGACUUUUAAAACUAAGAAUCCAAACACAAAAUAACUUAUUUAUAAGCUACUUUUAAUAUAACUAUUUAUUGUUUAAGUUAUUUUUUUAAAAGGAGUUUAAUUAAGCUAUUUAUCUAAACUGAGCCUUAAUAGGUUUAACUGAUUACGAAAAUGAUACAAUUUUUCGUUACUGAUAUCACAUAUCAAUAUCACUUUAAAAAUGAUUUUUCAUGCAAGUUUUAAUUUUAAAUGAUUUUAGUUAUUAUAUAGGUCAAAAGUGAUAUCUAAAAAAUAUUUCAUUAGAGUUAUAAAAUUUAAGAAUUAUGUAUAAAAUUUAGGCACAUUCAAAGAAUCUUAUUUUGAUUCUUAUCUUUUUUGUUCAAAUUAUUUAAAAUGUAAAAAUAGAAAAAAAAUGAAACUCAACACAUAAUAGGAAACUUAAUUUUGUUCUUUUCAAUCUUUUAUUUAAAUUAAAUGUAAAAUCUUAAAAUAAUGACUAAAAUCUAUGGGUAUAGAAAGAAUUUUAUUUUGUUCUUUUUUAUAUAUUGUCUUUUUAUUUAAGAUAUUCACUGAUUUUUUGUGAACAAGAAGAACAUUCAUGGCUAUGAUUUGUUCUAGUUUCGAAAAAAAAAUCAUCAUCUAAGUUUAUUUAAUAGGUUUAAUGAAUUAUGAAAAUGAUACGGUCUCUCUUAUAGAUACCAAACCAGUAUCACUUAAAAAACUAAUAUUUAAUGCAAGUUUUAAUUUUAAUUGAGUUUAGUUACUGUAGAAGUAAAAAAUGAUACAUAAAAAAUUAUUUUAUUAGAGUUAUAGAAUUCAAAAAUUAUAUCUGAAAUUUAAGCACAUUCAACAAUCUUAUUUUAAUUUUUAUUAUUUUUUAUUCAAAUUACUUAAAAAGUAAAAAUAAAAAAAAUANNNNNNNNNNNNNNNNNNNNNNNNNNNNNNNNNNNNNNNNNNNNNNNNNNNNNNNNNNNNNNNNNNNNNNNNNNNNNNNNNNNNNNNNNNNNNNNNNNNNNNNNNNNACUCAAUAUGAACAGGGACAUAACAAAAACUUUAUUUUAUUCUUUUUUUUAUUUUUUGUUUAAAUUAAAUGUGGGAUUCAAAAAUUAUGCCUGAAAUUUAGGCACGUACAAAGACCUUAUUUUGUUCUUUUUUAUAUGUUGUCUACUUAUUAGAGAUAUUCACUUAUUCUCUCUUAACAAGAAAAUUAUUCUUGGCUAUGACUUUUUCUAGUUUCUAAAAAAAAAAAAGCAUCAUCUAACUUUAUUUAGGACCCGUUUGUAAACUUUAAAAGUAUUUUUUUUUUACUUAUGAAAAGUAGUAGUAUUAAUAUCUGGUGUAAGUUUUAAAACUAAAUUGUAGCUUUCUAAGAAGCUAUUUAGGAGCUUAUAGAGAAGUUAAAAAACAACUUCUCUCAUAAUACUACUAUUUUUAUCACAUUUCUAUAAAAUAAACAUUUUUAAAACUAAAAAUUCAAAUACAAAAUAACUUAUUUAUAAGCUACUUUUAAUAUAACUAUUUAUUGUUUAAGUUAUUUUUUUAAAAAGAGCUUAAUUAAACUAUUUACCUAAACUGAGUCUUAAUAGGUUUAACUGAUUACGAAAAUGAUAUAAUUUUUCGUUAUUGAUAUCACGUAUCAGUAUCACUUUAAAAAUGAUUUCUCAUGCAAGUUUUAAUUUUGAAUGAGUUUAGUUAUUAUAUAGGUCAAAAGUGAUAUCUAAAAAAUAUUUCAUUAGAGUUAUGAAACUUAAGAAUUAUGUAUAAAAUUUAGGCACAUUCAAAGAAUCUUAUUUUGAUUCUUAUCCUUUUUUGUUCAAAUUACUUAAAAUGUAAAAAUAGAAAAAUAAAACUCAGCACAUAAUAGGAAACUUAAUUUUGUUCUUUUCAAUUUUUUAUUUAAAUUAAAUGUAAAAUUUUAAAAUUAUGACUGAAAUCUAUGCGUAUAGAAAGAACUUUAUUUUAUUUUUUUAUAUGUUGUCUUCUUAUUUAAGAUAUCUACUUAUUUUUUGUGAACAAAUUCAUGGCUAUGACUUUUUUUAGUUUCGAAAAAAACAAUCAUCAUCUAGGUUUAUUUAAUAGGUUUAAUGAAUUAUGAAAAUGAUACGGUCUCUCUUACAGAUAUCAAACCAGUAUCACUUAAAAAAAUAAUAUUUAAUACAAGUUUUAAUUUUAAUUGAGUUUAGUUACUGUAGAGGUAAAAAAUAUACAUAAAAAAUAUUUUAUUAGAGUUCUAGCAUUCAAGAAUUAUAUCUGAAAUUCAGGUACAUUCAACAAAUCUUAUUUUGAUUUUUAUUAUUUUUUAUUCAAAUUACUUAAAAAGUAGAAAUAGAAAAAAUUGAACUCAAUAUGAAAUUUAGGCACAUAACAGAAAUCUUAUUUUGUUCUUUUUUAAUUUUUUGUCUAAAUUAAAUGUGCAAAUUAUUCUAAAAUCUAAGUUGUAAACAAGAAAAUUAUUCUUGGUUAUAACUUUUUCUAGCUUCCAAAAAAAUAAAUAUCAUCUAACUUUAUUUAAUAUGUUUAAUGGAUUACGAAAAUAAUACAGUUUUUUGUUACUGAUACCACAUACCAGUAUUACUUUAAAAAUAAUUUCUCAAACAAGUUUUAAUUUUAAAUGAGUUUAGUUACUGUAUACAUCAAAAGUGAUAUCUAAAAAAUAUUUUAUUAUAGUUAUAAAAUUUAGGAAUUAUGUAUAAAAUUUAAACACAUUCAAAAGAUCUUAUUUUGAUUUUUAUCCUUUUUUUUGUUCAAAUUACUUAAAAUGUAAAAAUUAAAAAAAUAAAAUUUGGUAUGAAAUUCAGGCAUGUAAUAGGGAAUUUAAUUUUGUUCUGAUUUAAAUUAAAUAUAAAAUCCAAAAAUUAUGCCUGAAAUUUAUGAAAAGAACUUUAUUUUGUUCUUUUUAAUAUGUUGUCUUCUUAUUUAAGAUAUACACUGAUUCUUUGUGAAUAAGAAAAAUAUCCAUAACUAUGGAUUCCUCUAACUUUCAAAGAAAUAAGAAUUCUCUUUCCACUUUGAUCCGUUUCUUUAAGAUUGUUCUCAGAAAAAGCCUUGAUGAUGGAUAUCUUGUGAGAAUUUUCUUUCCCUUCUAUCCUCUUUUUAUCUUUCACUGUUUUUAUUUUACACAUACAAAUUUUUUUUAUGUAUACUUCUUGUGUUUCACUAUUUUUGUCAUAUUUUCCAUGUGAGGUAACAACCACACACAGGCAUGGUUUCUUUUCUUACAUAUUUAUGCUUUUUUAGUUUUCAAUUUUUGAUUGUUAGUUAGUUAGUUAAAGUAGUAACUGAAUCAACAAAGCUGCUGUUAGAGAAGGAUAAUUCUUAGUAGGGACGUUCAUGAAUCGGAUCCGAUCUGCAUAUCCACUGUAUUUAUCCGAAUCUGAUUCGAAAAUUGUGAAUAUAGAUUCGAUUUGCAAGGUUAUCGGAUCGGAUCGGAUCAGAUCCGCACACUAAUCGGAUCGGAUUGCGGAUUUUGUGUAUAUAUUCGCAUAUCUGCGUAUCCGCAAAAAUAAAGAAAUAAAUAAAUAAAUAAAUAUUCUUUUUAUAUUUUAUUUCAACUAAUAAUUAUCAUAUAUGUUGUAUUAUUUUAAUUUAUUAUUUAAAAAAUGUAUGUUUAAUAUUAUUUUGAGAAUAAAAAUAUUUAAAAAAUAAAAAAUAAAUAAAUUUUAUUGAUAUUUUUUAAUAAAAAUAAGCUUCUAAAAAUAUUUUGUGUUUUGUGGAUAUAUCUGAUAUCCGAUAUCGGAUCGGUUCAAGUUAAAAAGGAGAUUGGAUCCGAUCCGAUCCGAUGAUUUUAGUGCGGAUCCGAUCAAAAUUUUAGCCAUAUCCGAUCCGACCUGAUCCACGUUCACCCCUAAUUCUUAGAAGGUUGUUAAGAGGUUGAGUGAUACAAAUAGAGUGAGUCGAAUCAAUUUUUGUUUAUCUGGCCAAUUUUGUGUUAUGAUUGUGAGUUUUGCCAAGUAUGGUUACCAACAACAGUUUCAUUGGCAUUGCAGAAAAUACCAAACAAGUUCAGUAGGAAAUAUGGUGGUGAUAUGCCAAAUCCAGUGAAACUCCAGCCUCCAGAUGGCACUGAAUGGAGAAUAGAUUGGACUAAUCGUGAUGGUGAGAUUUUGUUUGAAAAUGGUUGGAAAGAGUUUGCUACAUUUUACACUUUGGAGAAUGGUCAUGUGUUGUGGUUUGAGUACAAUGGAACUUCUAACAUCAAAAUAAACAUAUUCGACAUGAGUGCCCUCGAAAUUGAUUAUCCUUCCAAUGGCCGAAUCCGUGAUGACAACUCGGUUGAGAUUUUGGAUGAACCGCCGCCACGAAGGGGCCGAGGCCGGCCGAAGAAAAAAGUGAUAGCAGAACCAAAGCAAUCACGUGCUUCUACAACUACAAGCAAAAUAAUGAAAAGUGCCAUCAAAACUAAAGAUAUAGAUAAAAAUCCCAAUACACAAAACUUGAAGCUGCAUGUCGAGAAUGAAAAAGAUGGUCAAUCUGAAGAGACAGGAGAUCUUAAGCUGCCAAUAAUUCAACGUGCCAGACCAGAUAUGGAUGGUCUGUUUCAUAAUCUCAUCAUUCUUUCAUUUUUUGGAUUCUACUGAUUUUGUUUAAUUUUUUUAUUUUCUUUGUUGCUAAAAUGCAUAAAUACUUCUUUUGUCAUAAAGUUAUUAGAGAAGCAAAGAAGUUCAAGUCGAAAAAUCCCUCUUUUGUCAUAAAGAUUAAGCAAAUGCACCAAACAGGAUCACCAGCAGUAAGUUGAUUCAUUUAUCUCUGUGCAAACUUUGUAUGUCAUGCAAAAUUGAGACUGUUGUGAACCAUGAUGAUGAAAUAUUCUGAUAUGAUUGCAGAAUCUUCCAGUUUGUUUCUUCAGAAUGUACUUCGAGAACACCAAGGAGUAUGCAACUCUACGAGUUGGAAAGAAGCAGUGGCAUGCAACAUUGAUCUAUUAUCCAAAUAGGAAGAAUGCCCUUAUCUCUAAUUGGCGCUUGUUCGUUGAAGAAAAUAACUUAAAAGCCGGAGAUGUUUGUAUCUUUGAGCUCAUUAACAGACAAGGUCCAGAUCUUAAGGUUCAUAUUCGUCGAAGCCAUGAUUAGCAAAUGGCUUUGCUUACUUGUGUUGCAGAUCAAUGGAGUAUGUUCAGGGAUCAAGAGUUGUAACAGAGUCAUAGUUUUCAUCAUACUAAAUGGUUGCAUUGCAGCGUUAUCUCCUUACUACCAUAACUAGAAAUAUAUCUGCAUUGUAGAAACAAUACAUGUAGAAUUAUAUAUUGUCGGUAGUAUAAGAUGUUAUUUGGACAAAGUACCUAAUCAAAAGUUUCCCAACUACUUAUUUCAAAGCAAUUUAUGGUUUGGAUCCUAUUUCACUCAUUCUCCCUCAUUUAUUAUAAUUGUCACUUUUUAGAAAGUUACUAAUUAUUUGCAGUGUUGCAGUAAUUCCAUAAAAGAUUCCAAUGUAAAUAACUUUUAAUGAGUGUAGUCACAAAAAAAAAACUUGUAAUGAGUGUAUAACUUUUUUUAAUUCAUUGUAUUGGAAUAAUUGGUAAAUUGGUACAAGUUUAUUAUGUCAUAUUUAAACAAACGUAAAAUGUUUCUGAUAGAGAUAAAUGUAUCAACUUACUGGUGAAGAUCCAGAUAGUUGAGUUUGCCUUAUCUUCGGUUAAGAAAGAGGGAUUAUUUGACUUGAACUUCCUUGCCUCUUGAACAACUUUACAUGUACACCAUAAAAAUUUGCAUAAAAGUUACUUGUAGCCAAGUUCAAGCUUCAAACAACACAGUAAUUUUUAUUCAUUUGAACGAAAUUUAAACACAGCCUAAGAACAAUAACAUAUUUAAUGCAUAGUUACAUGAAAUGCAAUACGCCAUGUGUAAAAUAUUUUAUUUGGAAUAUAUGCGUACGCUGCUUUCAACACUGCAUUCUUCAUUCAGAUUGACUAGCUUCUUCAUUCUUGCAACACUGCAUCCAGUUUUGUUUAUCAGGGGCCUUCUCUACAUCUCCAGUUUUGACAGAACUCAAUAUUUUACUUGUAGAAGGAGAUGAUACUUCUGCUGCUGCUUUCAAUUUUUUCCUCGACCUCUUCGUAAACUUGUGAACAUUUUACUUGUACAACUGUACAAGCAGAUGGUGUCUUUGGUGCUGCUUUCUCUGUUUUCCUCGGCCGGCCUCGGCCUCUUCGUGGCGGUUCAUUCUCAACCUUAACCAUGUUGUCAUCAUUAAUGUGGUCCUUGGAAGGAUAGUCUAUUUCAGGACACCAUUUCACUUUAGUUUUGGCAGAACUUGUGAACAUUUUGCUUGUACAAGGAGAUGGUGUGUUUGGUGCUGCUUUCUCUGUUUUCCUCGGCCGGCCUCGACCUCUUCGUGGCGGUCCAUUCUCAACCUUAACCAUGUUGUCAUCAUCAAUGUAGUCCUUGGAAGGAUAGUCUAUUUUGGGGCACCAUUUCACUACUUCAGUUUUGGCAGAACUUGUGAACAUUUUACUUGUAGAAGCAGAUGGUGUCUUUAGUGCUGCUUUCUCUGUUUUCCUCGGCCAGCCUCGUGGCAGCAGUUCAUUUAAGAUCUCAAUUGAAUCGUCAUCGCUGAUGUGAUCCAUGGAAGGAUAGUCUAUUUCAAGGCAAGUCAUGUCAAAAAUGUGUACUUCAAUGUUAGAUACAUGACCAACUCGACCAACUCGCUACUUCAUUAUAUAAGCACGUACUUAUAGAGGAUUAAAAUACUAAACAGGUCACAGAGGAAGGAGAAUGCUUGUUUCUUUGGAAACUAGAGGAAGCCAUGGAUGUUCUUCUUGUUCACAGACUGUAACUGUGUCUGUGAACAAGAAGAACAUCCAUGGCUUCCUCUAGUUUCCAAAGAAACAAGCAUUCUCCUUCCUCUGUGACCUGUUUAAUAUUUAAUCCUCUAUAAGUACGUGCUUAUAUAACGAAGUAGCGAGUUGGUUGAGUUGGUCAUGUAUCUAGUAUUAGAUUUGAUGAGAAAUAAAGGUGUUUUUCUUUGUCGGAUUGUAGAUUAUCGUAGUAGGCCACGACUUCUUUUCGAACUGUAACUUUACAUCCUGCUGAUUCUUUCUAAAAUACUUUCUGUAGAAGGUAGCUGGUAAGUUCUGCAUCACAUUCCAUUUUUGAAUCACCAUGGUAAAAAAUAGUUAUAAACUUACAAUUUGUGAAACUAAGUAUAAACUAGCACUCAGAAGUUUGCAUGGCAUAUUAUGUUUUGUCAUCGAUAAAAUGUAUCGAAAUAAACUUACAGGCCUUGAUUUCCUUGGAUCACUCUCUCUUAUCUUGACCAUGAAAGAGGGAUUCUGUGAGUUGAGCUCCUUAACUUCUUUGAAGAGCUGAAUCCCAUGAGUCACUGGUUUGAAAAGUGACUCUAAUACCAUAAUAGAAUUGUAAAAAAUUAGCAUGAAUUUUACUUGUGGAGAGUUUUGGAUACAAGUUAUAUCUAUAGGGUUGGAGACCAACACAAAUUUUAGCAUUAGUUUAUAUAACAAAUUGUCGUUACAUUAAGGACCAAAUACAUAGUCAUUACAUUCAUAAGCUAACUGCAUUUUUAGCCAAAACUAACAAUAGUUUCCUUGAGAUUGGAAUUCUGUUGCUAUAAAUGUUGCAAGGAAGGGAAGAAUUAAAGAUUUGUAAAAUGUACUCCAAGUCAAACACGGGGUCAAUUAAUUUUUAAUAUAAAAUUUUUUUAACGAGGAUAAUGCUAACUUUUAUUCCAUUUUUAAAGUUAAUUAUGUUUUCAAUGUUGUACUGAUAUUACAGAAUAACACGGCUUAAGAACUCCUAAACAAUUGCCUUACGGCGGCGUUGUCGACGACAAAUAUGAACAUCAAGCACCAGAUCUUUUCUAUUGAUGAGCUUAAACAAACAAACAUCUCCGGCUUGUAAUUUACUAGCUCGAGCAAAAAAGUUCCAACCAGAAGAGAUAAAGGCAUCACAUGAUGAUGGCCUAUAGAUUAACAACUUCUUUCCAAACCUUAUAAUUGCAUUUUGGGGGUUAUUUUCAAAAUAUUUUCGGAAGAAUUUAGUUGGAAAGUACCGCAGCACAUCAUAUUUAUGUCAUCAUAGUUAGAAAUAAGACACAAAGUUUGGAAGAAUAAUAGCACAUGGAAGUUCACGAUAUAUAAUUUUCAACAUGGAUAUAUGUAUUAACCUAUACUUACACAUGGUGCUCUCGUUUGAGACAGUUGCGUUAUCUUGAUGAUGAAAGAGGGCUUUUCUCACUUAAACUUCUUAGCUUCUUUCAGAGAUUCAGGUCUUAUAGGACAGGGCCUAACAGGAGAUUCAGAAUCUUUUCUUCUUCUAUUCUUUUUACCUUGUACAUAGGAAACAAAGAAUCAGAAACUACCACUGUAAUGUACAAAAAACAGUUGCAAGUUGUAACUCAAAAACAACGGUUGAAUCCACAAAAGGAAAGGUUGAUCUAAUUAUGAAACACAUACCAUUAGAAUCUUUAUUGACAGACACUGGCAUCUCAUGGUUUUUUUCUUUAGAUUUAAUACCGUGCGAAUUGAGGCUUCUUUCCACAUCCCUGAUUUGUGUGUCAUUUUCCAACUAUCUACCUUUAGAAGCAGAUGACACUAGUGCUCUCAGUUUUUUCCUCGGUUGGCCCUGGACUUCUCUUGGCAAUGGUUCAUUCAAUCUUUUCUUCAGCAGUCCCUCGUUAAGUCUCAUGUUUUGGGUGUUGGGACUACUAUCCACAUCUCUAGUUUUUUGUUCUUCUGGCCUUUUCACCGGCUGCUGACUCCUGCGUGGCAGCUGCUCUUUGAUCUGAUCAUUGGCAAAUAUGUAUACUUCCAUGUGAGAAGUUCCAAUAUUAUACUCAAACCAUAACAAAUGGCGAUGAUCAAGAGAGUAAUAUGCAACAAACUCUUUCCAACCAUUUUUAAACAAAAUCCCACCAUCAUGAUUAAUCCACUCUACUAUCCAUUCAGUACCAUCCGGAGGCUUAAGAUACAAUAGGUUUAAUAGGACAGAACCAUAUUUUUCAGUACUUCUGCAAUAUUAUGAACCUGGUGUUAGCAACCAUAAUAACAAUAAGGUGACACACAUUAGUAUGUCUUCACCAAGAUGUUGACAUGUAUUAUGUUAAAUAGUUUAGACAAAUAUAUCAAACUAUUUAACGAUUUUCGGCUAUAUCUUUGUAUACUAAUAACAUUAAACUCCUAAUUCGUCCUUCACUAAUAAUUAUAAAUAGUGCAGUAAAAUAGUCCAAACAUAUUAGUCCUAAAUUUUGUAUGUAGAUAAAGAUUAAUCUUUCACCUAUUUUAAAGGAGAGACUAAUUUCAAAUUUUAAAGGGCUAUUUUGCAGCAUUGUUUGCAUAUUUAGAGACUAGGAGUGAAAUAAAAAAAUAUUAAAAAACAGGAUUGUCCAACAUGAAAAUUGGUAGGGACCAAAUCAGUAAUAACAAAAUUAAAACUCAUGCAUAACGAAAAAUGACGAUGAAUAUAAUAAUUUUUCAAAUCACCGCAAUAUGUCCUAUAAUAUUUCCUAAUCUUAAUUAGUGAAAGUUUUACCAGAUCAUUUUUCAUUAACAAUAAUGUAGAUUUAAUCGUAAUUAAUUUUGUAGUAAGAAUACAUACGGAGUACAUAAAAUGAUGUAACCACCUAACAAAUAUGUUUUUAGGUUUUCAUUCAUCUUAUGUAUUUUUUUAUUUUUUCAUGUACUUCUGCUACAAAAUUAAUUAUAAUUAAUCCUACAUUAUUGUAAAUAGAAAAUGAUCUAAAUAAUAAGAAGAAGAAGUUUACUAUUACUAUAUUUGCAGCUAAGAAGCCAUGCAUGUGUGUUGUUCUAUGAAGAAAAUGUUUAUAAAUGAGAAAAAUUAUAUAUAGAGGAAUAAAGAGAGAAACUUUUUGUUAAAUAAACAAUAUCUCAAAAGAUAAACAGAUUAAAAGAAAAAGAGGGGAUGGAGAAGACGAGAGAAAAUGCUCACAAAGUCAUCAUCUUGAAGAGCUUGUCUGAGAACAAUCUUAAAGAAAGAAAUCACAGUAGAAGUAGAAGGAGAAUACUUGUUUUGUUGACAGCUAGAGGAAGCCAUAGUAAACGGAUGAUGUAUGGAUUUGACUAUUGUUGAGGUUCAGAGUCUCUCUCACCCGGUAUUCCUUAAAUAAACUUAUUUUGGGAUAACAAUUAAAUUAAAAAAAAUAACAAGUGAGUACUAAAAUAAGUUAUAUAUAUAUUUUAAUUUAUUUUUAAUAUAAAUUUUAUAUUUUUAUAUGUAUUAUAUAUGUAUAAAUAAUUUUAAUAUAUAUUUAAUAUAAUUUAAUAAAUUAAAAGAAAAGUUAGGACCGAUUCCUUCAUAAUUGAUUGCAAAGUUAUACAGCGUUAAUUGAUAAUGGUGUUAUUAGAGAGACAAUAAAAAAAAUAGUCAAAAUUUAUUUUAUAAUUAUUUUUGUCUAUUUUUUUUUUUGCUAUCAAACAUUUUUGAAAUGAUAAUAUGAAAUGCCAUUAGACAAGCUAAAUAAAAGGAGAAGAUGCUCAUUGAAAAAAAUAAAAUAGAAGCAUAAUGAAAUAGCACGAUGAAUGUUAGUACAUAGAAUAAAAGGUAAAUACUAAGGAUCAAUUGAGUUAAGUUAGGCUUGAUUUGAUAAAAUUUUUAUUUUUUAAAAAUAAUUUAUAAAAAUUAGUUUUUAAAAUUAAUUUUAUUUUUGAAAAAUUUUACUAAACCAAAUCUUAGUACGUUUGAUAAUAGAUUAUUACUUACAAAGAUAUCGAAAAAGACAGACAAAGGUGUUAGAUAAUUAAAUCAAGAAUAUUUAAGAAAAAUAAAAAUACAACAUCUUAAAACAUUGAAAAAAUUCGAAUCAAAUUGAAUUGGAAUUGGAAACCAAAUUGUAUCUUAAAUUAGAAGGUGGUAGAAACGGAUAAAAAUUCAAGUUAUUUUUCUGGUGCAAGACAACACAAUAUUUAUGAAGAACGAAGAAUCAUGAUUGGAAGUUUCAAGUUGAUGACUAAAUUUGAAGGAUUUGAAGUAAAUUUGAAUAAAUAACUUGACUUGUAAAAGUUUUUAUUAACUUCAUGAAAUAUUACAAGUGUAUUUAGUUGUUAUAAAAAUUAUUAUUUUAUUAUGAAACUUUGCCUAUAUAAAGGCUUGAACACAUGUACUUUAAUCAUAUCUUCAUAUGAACGAAAAUGCAUUGAGUUGUUAAUGUUGGGUCGUCUGGUCCUAAAUUAAAUGAAAAACUUGAUUAUUAAGAGACUUUGAUGUCUAUCUAUUUGAAGGUUUAGAUCCUAUGGAACUUUAUUGAAUUGGAUUUGCAAGAAGGAGUUGAUGUUACCCAAUAGAGAAAAAAUCAAUUAGCAUGGUCUCAAAUUUACCAAAGUGUAUAUUAUACAAUGUUUUGCAAAAUAGCAAAUGCCAAAAGUGUAAAAGAAGCAUAAAACACGUUGAAACUGUCAUACAAAGACAUAGGUAAAGUCCAAAAAGCAAAGUUAUAAUUUUUGAGAAGAGAAUAUAAAAGAUAUGAGAUGUCUAACUCAGAAAUUGUUAAGCAAUAUUUUUCUUGUGUUACAAAUAGAUAAAAGUAUGAAAAAUAUUCCCAGUAGCAAAGUGGUGAAAAAAUCUUUUUGCAUUAUGCUGAUGAAGUAUGGUCAUAUGGCGACUACAAUAUUAAAGUCCCACAAUAUGGAUACUAUGACGAUUGCAGAGUUGUAAGGAACCAUGGAAAGUCAUAUUAGCAUAAUAUUAGAGAAGUUAGAAAAAUCAAUUGAAGAAGCCCUGAAAAGUCGAGUGAAUUUAAACAAUGGUGCAGAAUCAAGCUGUACACAAGAUGGACGAGACCGUACUUUCAAUUUUCAAAGUAAAGGUAGAGGAAGUUCCAGAGACAGAGGUCGUGGCAAUUAUAGCCAUGGAAGUUAUAAUAAUUUUACACCACCUAAUCAAGAAAGAGGUGGAAUAAAUUCCAGGUUUGUCAACUAAAGAAGAAAUCGAGACAAUUUUUAUCAAGAACGAACUAAUUUCUACUGCUUUCAUUGUGAAAAGUAUGGACACAAAGUGGUAGACUGCAAAAUCAAAAUAAUGAAUAAUAAUCAAGCACAUGUUGCAGAAAAUUAACAUCAAAAUACUGAUGAUAAUCCGAAUAUCAAACUUUAUUUUUUACAUGUAACUCAUAUGCUGAAGAUAAAAAUAUAUGAUACUUGGAUAAUGGUUGUAGUAAUCAUAUGUCUGGUAGAAAAAUUCCUAUUGAAGUUUGGUAAUAGUAGAAAGAUUCCUAUUGAAGAAAAAGAACAAAUACCAAUUAGAUUGAAUGAUUGUUCUCUGAGUUAUAUUUUUGAUAUUUUCUAUACUCCUAAACUUGAUUACAAUUUAUUGAGUACGAGGCAGUUAUUUGAGAACGGAUAUAAAAUAAUUACAUAUAGUGGAUAUUUGCAUUAUAUUUGACAACAACAAAAGGUUCAUAGAUAAAGCAAAGAUGACUUCAAAUAAAAUGUUUCCAUUGAAAAUUCAACAUGUUAAUCCUUCUUGCAUGAGUUCUGUAAUAAUUUAUGAUAGCUGAGUGUGGUAUAUUCAGUUUGUGCAUUUUUUUCUGACCUAAAUUACCUGUCAAGAAAAAGACUUAUUUCUGGUCUGCCACAGAUUCAUAUUCCUAAUUGUGUUUGUGAAAUUUGUCAACUGAAAAAGAAGCACAAAAAUCUAUUUACUACAGAAAAGUCAUGAAGAACUUGAAGAUUACUUGAAAUUGUGCAUUCAGAUCUUUGUUUUGUUAAGAUUCUAAGGUACUUUAUCACUUUUAUUAAUGAUUUUAGUAGAUAUAUACGGAUAUACUUUCUAUUGUUAUAAAGCAUACUCAUAUUUUAGUAUAUAGAAAGCAUACUCAUGUAUGUUGCAACAAUGAUUCAUAUUUUAGUAUAUAGCAGGUAUCCAAUGAAAGAUGUUCGUGAUAAAACUUCGAAGGAAGUUUGGAGUGAAAAGAGGUCUUUCAUUAAUCAUUUUCAGAGUCUUUCAGUAUAUUGCUUAUGCCCAUGUUCUAUAUCAAUCAAGAAAGAAGUUAGAUGACAAAGGCAAAACGUAUAUCUUUAAUGGCUAUAGCACAUACUCAAAAACAUACAAGUUGUAUAAUCUAGAAUCAAAGAAGGUGAUCAUCAGCAAAAAAUGUGACAUUUGACGAGAAAGAUAUUUGAGACUGGAACAGAACGACAGAAAAGUAGCCGAUUAUAAUUCCAAAUUCAUGUGAUGAAGUAGAAUAAAGACAACCUAACAUAACUAAACAACUAAAAUCAUCUAUAAGACCUCUAGAAAAUAUAGACUACCUGCUAGAUUGGCAGAUUAUGAAAUUGGCAGUGAUGAUGAUCCAUCCGAUGAAGAAAUUAUCAAUUUUGCUUUACUUUCAAAUUGUGAGCCAUUAAACUUUGAAGAAGUCUCUAGAGGCAACAAUUGAAAAAAAAUAAUAGAUGAAAAGAUUCAUGCCAUUGAAAAGAAUUUGGAGCUGAUAGAUUUACCAUUAGAUAAGAAGUCAAUUGGAGUAAAGUGGAUUUACAAAACUAAGUACAAUCCCAACGAUGAAAUUGAUCGUUUUAAAGCAAGAUUAGUUGCUAAGGGAUAUAAACAAAAAUCCAGUAUUUACUACUUUAAAGUAUUUGCUCCUGUUACUAGAUUAGACACUAUCCAUAUUAUUAGUUCGCUAUCGGCUUAAAAUAAAUUAAAAAUACAUCAAAUGUAUAUUAAGUCUGCAUUUUUAAAUUGCACUGAAGAAGAAGUGUAUGCUGAGCAACUUGCAGGAUAUGAAAUUCCUGAAGAAGAAGAAGAAGAAGAUAAAAUUUAUCGAUUGAAAAAAGUUUUGUAUAGGUUGAAGCAAGCACCAAGAGCGUGAUACAAGAAGAUUAUUUAUUCUUUUUUCACUCAGAAGAUGUCCAUUUGAACAUACUCUUUAUAUAAAGUUUGUUGAAUCUGGAUAAAUCUUAAUCGUGUGCCUUUAUAUUGAUGAUUUGAUCUUUACUCGCAAUAAUUUGAAGAUAAUUGCAGAAUUCAAAAAGACUAUGAUAAAACAAUUUGAAAUGACAAAUAUGUGCUUGAUGUCUUACUUCCUCGACAUCAAAAUCGUUUAGAAAGAUGACAGAAUCUUUAUUUCACAUCCAAUUUUUUCUUUCUAAUUCAAUAAAACAAACUUAAUUAUAUAGUUGCUAUUUUUUAAAAUAUAUUGACGUUCUUCUUCUUCUCUUGCUAUUAUAUCUUGUUAUUUUUCUUUUGUAGUGUAUUACUUAAUCAUGAUCAUAAUACAUGCAGCAGGUUUAAUUUGCAUGUUUGUUGAUUGGAUGUCACGGAAGCAAGUUUUGUCCUGAGCCUUCGUUUUUGGAGAAUCUGGGAAAAGUAAGACACAUGCUUUGGAACAAUAAUUUUGACCGAUAACUCCAAAGAUAAGAAAGAUAAAAAAAAUUAGCUUCUUAAGUUGUUUUGCUUUUAUGUAUUUUAUAAUUUUUGACCCUCUCCUUGCUUGUGAUGCUUUUAAGAAUUUAUAGAGCAUGAAAGAUAUUUGAUAUGAUUGUACUCCCAUAUCUUCUAAUUCAUUUCUUCAUUUAUUUAAAAACUUUUGAUAGAUUAAAAAGUGACCGUUGAUGCUUUAUACCUUCAUUUCUUCUUAGCUUCUUCUCUUGCUAUUAUAUCUUGUUAUUUUUCUUUUAUACAUGCAGCAGGUUUAAUUUGCAUGUUUGUUGAUUGGAUGUCACGGAAGCAAUUUUUGUCCUGAGCCUUCGUUUUUGGAGAAUCUGGGAAAAGUAAGACACAUGCAUUGGAGAAAUAAUUGAUCGAUAACUCCAAAGAUAAGAAAGAUAAAAUAAACGGUUUUGUUAUAUUACCAACAGCAUAUCUGCUAAUUUCUGCCAACUCUUAUUUAUAAUUGUGUUUUAUGGAAGUGUGUUCGUAGAUGUGUUUAAUAAAAAUAUCUUUUUUAUAGCAAUGUUUAAUAGAAAUAUUUUUAUAGAUAUAUUUUUUAGAUGUAUCUCUUUAUAUAUGUAUUUAAAAUAUAUUAAUUAUUAGCACAUCCACAAACACACUUCCAUGAAACACAAUUAUAAAUAAGAGUUGGCAGAAGUUGAUAGAUAAUAUGUUGGUACCUUAUACUUUUCCAUAAAAUAAAUAGGUACGUGGUCUUCAUGCACUAGUUUAUUAUGGUGUUGACUUGUUGUACAAUACCUAAUUAACUACACCAACACUGUAUGAAGAGAAUGGCAACAAUCUUUUCAAAUUUGUUUAUGUAAACUGCAAACACAUUAACGAUCAUUUUUAAAAUAUAAUUCCAAUAAAAUACAAUUAUAAAGAAGAUAUAUAAUAAUUAAAAUAAAUUUACCAAUUAAAUCCUAUAAUCUAAAUUUAAUUCAAUAAGUUGGUUAUUUACAUGAUAUUUUAGACAAUUAAAAAUAUUUUAAAUAUUUUCACGUAACAUUAUUUAAAUAUUGCAACUUAAUUAUUUGUAUUUUGUUGUAUAUAUUGUUAUUAAAUGCUUAUAAUUAAUUAUGAGAGCAUCUUCAAUAUUAGUUUUAAUUCCUCAUUUAAAUUUUUAAUGUAUUUAUUUUAUAGUUACUAAAUAAAAAUAUUUAAAUUUUUUCAUUAAUGACAAGCUUAUCAUGUAUUUUUAAGAUACAUAUUAGCAAAUUUUUUUUUUAAUAGGUGAACCGAUGAUUUCUUUUAAUGAAUAUUACAUGAUAAAAUGAAAAAAAAUUCAAAAAUUUAAAAUAUACCUAAUAUUGCAUACGUCUAUUUUACAUCAGUUUUUGAAGUGUCACUUCUCUUCUCGAGACUUUUUUUUUGUUUUUGUCUUAACUGUACUAUUCCUUUGCUUAGUAUUUUCUAAUUUUUGGCGCUUAUAUAUUUUUUAAUUGUUGGCCCUCCCCUUUACUUUUGAUGCUUCUUAAGAAUUUACAGAACAUAAAAAUAUUAGGAGUGGAUUCUCUUUAGUGAAAAAAAAAUUGGAUGAUAUCCCGUGAAAGAUCUCAUCUUUUAUUGCAUUCUCUCUCUCAUUUAUUUUUGGUCCCACUUGAAGAAUUAAAGGUGGGAGAUUACACUGUAUUCUCUCCAGUGACAAAAAAAUGGAGAGGAUCCAUUAACGAAGUGGGUGUUAAUGUGUUUUUUUUUUUUUCAAAAAUCAGAUAAUUUCAUUCAUAAAAUAAAAGAAAUAUAUAAAUGUCCAUACAUACAUAAGACAAAUAAAAGAAAUAGAGAACUUCCAACAUUUUACUAUAGAGAUAACAUGUAAUAAUUUAAUAAGAGAAAUAAAAAGUUAAAGUGUUUAUUAAUUAAGAAGUGGGAAUUUGUUGAAGUUCUUUCAACAGCUUCAAAAUCGAUAUUAUUAUCUCUUUCACACUGAAAUUGAUACAUUAUCAAAGAUGAAGCCGUUACUAACCUUCCACAACGACCAGCUUCGUUCGACGGAUAAUUUCAUUAUUGAUGUUCCGGAAUGGAUCCUCUCAAUUGUUGAAACAAAUUGAGGGAGUAAAGUGUGAUCUAUAACCCUUUAAUACAUACUUUCUCAUAUUUUUUUUUGGUUCUACUUAUAAUAAUUAAUGGUGAGAGAUCACACUUUAUUUUCUCAAUUGUUAAAAAAAAAUUGAGAAGAUCCAUUUACAUUGAUGUUCGGUGAAUGAUUCAAUGGUCUUGCAUCUUUUUUCACCAAAUUGGUGAAAGAUAACCAUUCUUUUACGCUGUUGCCUGUUGGGUACUUGGAUCUUGGGCUCAAUCCUGUUCGAAACCAUUAAGCCUUAUAAUAUCCCAUUUAUUGAAGUCCAAUUAUCCUGAUAGUUUUAAAAUAGCAUAAAAAUAUUUUUUGGGUUAAAAUAAACAUAUUGAAUUAGUGAAAUAUGAUGUAAAAUGUUAAAAUAAAUUAUUAUUUUGACCCGCAAAAAAUAAACCAAAAACAAAAGAAACAAUAUUUUUAUUUUUUAAAAUUAAUUUUAGUUUGACAAAAUAUACAUUUUGGGGAUAAAUAACAAAUAAUGCAUGUAUUUAAUUCAACUUUUUGUUGGGUCAUUUAAAAAGUUAUUUGGAAAGUAUAUAUAAAAAAAUUAAUAAAUUGAUUUUUUUUUACUAUUUUUUAAUUUUUUUUAAUAUUUUUUCAGUCAUGUAAAUGAUAUAAACAAAUAUUUAAAAUAAAAUGACCAAAUUAAAAAGAUAAUUUUUUAAUCUUUAAACAGAUUUACAAAAAAAUAUAUUGAUAUUUAUAAAUUAUGAGAUAUAUGACAUGUUUUAAAAAUUUGUCAAAUUAAAAUUAUAUUUUAAAAAUAAUUAUGAGAUACUUGAUAUGUUUUGAAUUUUAUCAAAAAUAUUUCUACAAUAAGAGAGUAUAGUGCCAAAAUAAUUAUUGUAUAAAGAUUCAUUAUGCUGCAAAACCUUUGUUAUUUCUUUGUUUAUUACUUUCAUUGAAUAAUAAUUUUGUGGAAUAAAUUUUUGAUAUCCUCGCUAUGCUUGUUUUUUAAGAAAAAAUUACUAUUUUUUCUAUGAAAAGAAUUCAUUUUUGAUAAAUAAUUUUUAAAAAAAGGAAUGACAAAAAAAAUAUAAUGCUAUUCUAAAAUUAUUAGUUUUUUUGGAUGAAAAAAUUUAUUAGGCUAAUUGGGCUUUAAUAAAUGGGCUAUUAUAAGGCUCAAUAGUUUUUAAAAAAGAACUGAACCAAAAAACCUAGCGGUGUAAGAGAAUAGUUAACUUUCACCAACGUUGGUGAAAAAAGAUGCCGGACCAUUGAAUCAUUCACCUUGAUGUUCUUCUUCUCUUGCUAUCAUAUCUUAUUAUUUUUCUCUAACAGUUUUUUUUUGGACAUUUUUUUCAACAGGUUUAAUUCGCAUGUUUGUUGAUUGGAUGUCAUAGAAGCAAUUUUGUUGAAGUCCAAUAAAAAAUAUUGAGCCUUCGUUUUUGGUCUUCAGGAAUAUUGGGCUAUAUUGGCCAGACUUCUUCUAUUUUUCUUUUAAUUUUUCUGUUUUGUUUUUUUGGUAUCGAUAGAACUGAAUGUUUUUUAUACAGAAUAAUAAGUGCAAACUAAACUAUCAACUACUCUCUUUUUUUUUUUUGGAAAAUAUUAUCUUGGAUCGGACAAAAUUUGGUGUUCACUCACACGAACAUUGAAAAAAUUUGAAAUUAAAUUUAAUUAAAAGUAAAAAUUAAAUUAGAUAGUAAAAACUACAAGAAUGUAAGUUAUUUUUUUAAUGCAAGAUAACAUAAUAUUUAUAAAAAAAUGAAGAAUUAUAAAUGAAUUGAAAGCUUCAAGUUGAUGACUAAACUUAAAAAAUUUAAAGCAAAUUUAAAUAAAGAAUUUAACUAGUCAAAAUUUUUACUAAAUUCAUGAAAUAUUACAAAAUUCAUAUGAAUGAAAAUAUAUUAAGUUAUUAGAACUUCUCUUAUCUUUUGUGAAUGUGUUAGUGAAUUUAAAAAAUAAAAAAUAUAAUAGUAUUAUUUAAAUAAAUGAAUAAUCUGAAAUUAAUAGUGUAGAUAUUAUACUUAAAAAAAUAGAUAUAAGAUAGAAUAUGUGUAAGUACAUUAUAAAUUUAUGGUUUAACUUUUAUUCUACUUUGUUUAUUGUUUUGUGUUUUGUGUUUUGUAUUUUAUUUUAUUUUUUAUAACAUAUUUCACUUAUAACUGUGUUAAAUCUUUACUUAAAAAAAAUAUGAGAGUAAUUAAUUACAUUUUAUCAUUAAUUAAUUGAUAAUAUGAGAUAUGUCAUUAACUAACCUUAUUUGGAAAAAAAAUUGAACUUUAAAUAGGAGGGUUUGAUCAUUAGAUAAAAUUAUAAAAUCAAUUUGAUUAUUUUCUCCAUUUAUAGACCAAAUUGAUUAUUAGAUAAAAGUUGGAAACUAAUUUAAUUAUUAUUCAAUUUAGUCACCAAUUUAAAAUAUUUUAUGUUAUUAAAUUUCAAUAUAUGUUUAAUAACUUACGAUUAGAAUAAUCAAAUUUUAACUGCUUUGUUAAAAUAUAAAUUGAUAUAUUCACUACAAGAAAUACUAUUAUAAUCGAGGGCCAAAUCGAUGACAAAAACAUCGAUAUAUUAAAAAUCGAUGGUAAAAUUAACAGCACUAGCCAUCGCUUUAAAACGGGUAGAUUUUUUUAAAAUAUAAUAAGAUCGACGGCUCCUCAAAUUGUCAAUAAACUUUCAAUAAAAUCGACAACCAUUGUGUCGAUAAUAUAAGAUUACGAUUUUUACAUACUUAAAAAAAGCGACACCCAGGCUGUUGAUAAUAUUAUUUAAAAUCGACAACCUAAGUGUCGAUAUUUAAUUUAUUAAAAUUGACAAAUUAACUAUCGAUUUAAUUAUUAAAUUACCGAUAACAACAUCGUCUAUUUUCCUUUUUUUUGUCUAUUUUAAAUUAAAAAUUGACAACAUUGCCUUUUAUUUUUGUCUAUGUUAAAUUUAAAAAUCGACAAUAAUGCCGUCGAUUUUAAUAACCAAAUUUUUUUUUUAGUUUUUUACAUUUGAAANNNNNNNNNNNNNNNNNNNNNNNNNNNNNNNNNNNNNNNNNNNNNNNNNNNNNNNNNNNNNNNNNNNNNNNNNNNNNNNNNNNNNNNNNNNNNNNNNNNNNNNNNNNNNNNNNNNNNNNNNNNNNNNNNNNNNNNNNNNNNNNNNNNNNNNNNNNNNNNNNNNNNNNNNNNNNNNNNNNNNNNNNNNNNNNNNNNNNNNNNNNNNNNNNNNNNNNNNNNNNNNNNNNNNNNNNNNNNNNNNNNNNNNNNNNNNNNNNNNNNNNNNNNNNNNNNNNNNNNNNNNNNNNNNNNNNNNNNNNNNNNNNNNNNNNNNNNNNNNNNNNNNNNNNNNNNNNNNNNNNNNNNNNNNNNNNNNNNNNNNNNNNNNNNNNNNNNNNNNNNNNNNNNNNNNNNNNNNNNNNNNNNNNNNNNNNNNNNNNNNNNNNNNNNNNNNNNNNNNNNNNNNNNNNNNNNNNNNNNNNNNNNNNNNNNNNNNNNNNNNNNNNNNNNNNNNNNNNNNNUCGAUUUAAUUAUUAAAUUACCGAUAACAACAUCGUCUAUUUUUCUAUUUUUUGUCUAUUUUAAAUUAAAAAUCGAUAAUAUUACCGUCGAUUUUUGUCUAUAUUAAAUUUAAAAAGUGACAAUGAUGUCGAUUUUAAUAGCCAAUUCUUUUUAUUUUUUCAUUUGAAAUAGCAGAUAAUUAAUACAAAUAAACUUUUAAAUAUAGAAAUAAAUUUUAUACUAAAUAUUAGAUAAUGAGAGAAAUAAAUUUUAAAAUAUAGAGAUUAAAUUUAUUCUAAAUAUUAGAUAAGAUAAUGAGUUUGCAAACUUAUCAAGAUAAUAAAUAAUCCUCUAAUAUAAAGAUUCAAGAUAAGAUAAAUAAUUAAAUUUAAAUUUAUAUUCAUUUAAUCAUAAUCCACUAAUAAUACAACUGGUAUACCCUAUAAUACAAGUACUGGUACACGAAAAUUUUAAAUUGCAAUAAAAAAAAGUGCAAAAAAUGGCUAUCUGUUGGCAGUUUAAAAUAAACCUUAGAAACAUUGAAGUAAAAAGUUUUUAAUUUUGAAAUUAUUAUUGACUAUGUAAAAUAUUUUAUUUAAAAUUUGAGUACAUGCAUGUAUUUAUUUAAGUCACUGAAACAUUACAAAUUUUUAUAGUACUUUUAACAUUUUUUAAAUUAUUUUUUUAAAUGUUUUGCAUGGAAUAAAAUAUUUUUUUGUGAUAUAAUUUAAAUAAAUUUAUUAAAAAAAUUAAUAAUCUAAAAUAAAAAAAUUUAUAUUUUAUAUUCCAUGAAUUAAAAAAAAACUGAACUCGAACUAUAUUUAUAGGACAUUCAUUGAUAAUUCGAAUGAGACCAAAUUGAAUUACCUUCGGCUGCUACUUGGUGGUAAUUCCAAUGAGUUCACUUUAAAUUAGAGCUGUAUUCACAUGCAUGUAAUUCGAUUCACCCUCAUUCGAAUUACUAAGACAUUUUGUUCAUGCAUAAUUCGAAUUGUACUGCUUUAAAUUAGUAUUGAAUUUUAUAAUUCAAUGAGUCUCGUUCGAAUUACAUAAAAAUACUUGGUAAAUCCUUGUAACGUUUAUUGUUUUGGUAGAUAUGUGUAAUAUUGGCUUCAAUUGAUUUAUAUAUGCAUCUUGCCUUAUAAAUAACUAAUAAUAUAAAUAUAAAUAUAAAUAUAAAAUCUAUCAACAUUUGUGAUUUUCAAAAAUAUAAAUAUAGAUAAGUAAUAAUAAAUUAUUAAUCACAAUAUAUAAUAAAUUAUAAAAUAUACAUAAAUAAUUAAUAAAAAAACAAUCAAUCAAAUACUACUUACUAAAUAAAAAAAUCUUACAUGAUCAAUUGAUAUUCUAUAGAUCACAUGUUGGUCAUGCUACCUAAUCAAUUUGUAAUAUUUAUCUAUCAUAAAAAUACAUACCUGCAUUCAUAUGCUGAAAAAAUUUCAGUGCAUGUAUGGUCUGCAAAUUCAACGACCGCAAGAAAGUAGGCUCUACAAACGUAUGCUGGUUUACUAGUGCAUUUGCCACCUCUGCCACAUCUGCCUCCAUAGUGCCGUUAGCCUGAUCUUUGUCUCCACCUGGAUCAACGAUCUCAUAGUUACUUUCAAGCUUCUCCUCGAUGAACGAUAUCUGUGAGGGAGUUUCCAUAUACACUGAAAACAUAUGUUGCAUGCUCGCUUCAUCGGUUACAUAUUUGGUUUGAAACUGAAUGAACCCACCAAAUACGGAUAUAGGAUACCUGUACAAAAUGCACGACACUCUCCUAGAUAUUUGAGAAUUCAUUUUUCUCACAAAUUACACCUUUUAAUUCUUCAAAUGACAAUGUGAGUGGAAUAACGAUAUCUAACAGAUUUUCACAAACAAAUUUCACUCAUUCAACUGUUUAUAACAAAAUAUGUCUAUGAUAAUAAACUUUUAACAUCACUCUAUCAUCCAUUAUGAUACAUUCACAUCAAAAGCUCUCAAUCUUAGUAAAAUUGCUGUUGAAACAAUGAAGAAGAAGAAGAAAGAAUCAGAGGGGUUCAGAAGAGAGAAUUGAGAGAUAAAGAAAAAUGGAGACUUCAGCUAAUAGUGGGUAUAUAUAAAAACAAAAAUCGGACAGUCCGACCGCUCUUUAACCGGUUUAAAUUUUAUAAAGAACUAAAAUCGGAUCGUCCAAUUUUAGUCAUAUACGAAUUCAAAAUUAUAGCAUGCAUGAAAUCGGACAGUCCGAUUUUAGUCAUAUACAAAUUCAAAAUUAUAGCAUGCAUGAAAUUGGACCGUCUAAUUACCAUAUUUAAUUUUUUUUUUUUGCACACUCAAAUUGGACCGUCCGAUUUGUGUUCCCCUUCUGCCGCAAAAAGAUUGAACGGUCCGAUUUCUUCCCCCUAACUUCGAAAAUCUAAUGCCGUCACAACACUCUAUUAACCCCUCAUACCUCCAUAACUCAGCGUUACACACACUUCAUUGUCAUAUUAAAAAUAAGGAAAAGUCUAGGGAACUAACUCUCUACCUAGCCAUUUUGAACUACUCAAUUAAUUAUAUUAAUUUUAAUUUAUUAGUUAAUUUGAAUCAUCCUCAUUAAUGAUUAUUUUAAAAAAAUAGGAUUUGCAAUUAACCGCCUAAUUAUUGGAACAUGAUUCACGGUUCUGAUAGGACUCUUCCUCUUUCUACGCAUUAAGUGUAUUGUUGUGCUUAAUUCAUUCUGCUGACGUCCUCAACAACGUGAACACUGAGGCCCACCUCUACUGUGCUACGCUGUUCUUGCCACCUUUUGUGUUAUUGUUCCUAAUCGGGGUUCCAUUGUUGUUCAUUGUUUGAUUACGUUCCGCUGCAAGGACCAGCAUGCCGCGUGACCACCGAAUCCCCACCUCCGCCGUGCUCUGCUGUUCUUGCCGCUAUUAGCAUUACCAUUCGUCAUCGGGAUGCCAUUGUUGUUCAUUGCUUGAUCACCUUCCGCCGCAAGGACCACCAUGCGGCUGCAUCUUUGAACGAAGUCGUUCGCGGUGGUUAGAGAGUUCUUCCCGCCGAGCUGUUGUACACAAAGAAGUCGACGUCGCAUUAUAUGGCUUCCGAUAGAGAGCAUUCGUCCAUGAACCAAUCAAUUUCGGAACGAAGAUUGAAUAGCCCCGUCGUUGAUGUGAGUGAUAAUAAUUCAAGGGAAGGCAAUGAACAUUUGAGUGUGAGGUUGCAAUUCAAUAUGUUUCCAAGGUACGUGGGGGAAAAGAGGAUGUUGUUUCAUUUUUUUUCCAUGCAAAUGAAUUGUAUUUGGUUAGUCUCAUGUGAAUAUUCUUUUUUUUUUAUACUAAGUGGAUGCGUUUUUUUUAGCUAAUGCAUUUUUUUAUUUACGAUUUGGAGAAUUUUUUUAUUAGUGUUGGAUGAUUUUUUUCUUAUUUUUAUAUGUUUUUUCUUUUAGGAUUUGGAUGAUUUUUUUUAUUAGUUUUGAAUGAUUUUUUUUUUGUGUUUUGUAUGUUUUUUCUUAGGAUUUGGAUAAUUCUUUAUCUUAUAUUUUAUUAUUUUUUUUAGAAAGAGAAAUUAGGAUUUGCUUGAUAAAUAGUAAAAGGUAAAUUAGAGUAAGAAGAGGUAAUUAAUAAUCAUUAAUUUUGUAUCCUUUAAAAAUUAAAAUUUAAAUAAUCAUCAAUUAAUGACAAUUAAUGAGUAUAGAGUGUAGUUUAAAAAUGUUUGUUGGCUAUACCCAUGUUGGUUUCCUAGCGAAAUUGUAAAAAUAAUGAGCCGUAUGAUGGGAAUAUGGGAAACUAACUAAAAAAUUGAAAAAUUAGAUAUGCAUGCUUUGGAACAAGUAAAUAACACUGUACAAGAAAAAUAAUUGACCGACAAUUUAGAACAAGUUUUUUUUGUCUAAAUUAAAUAUGAAAUUUAGAAAUUAUAUCUGAAAUCUAGCGCAUAAAAUGACUUUCUUUAUUUAAAGGUUUAAUGGAUUAAGAAAAUGAUAUGAUUUCUCGUUACUGAUACCACAUAUCAGUAUUAGUUCAAAAAUGAUUUUCAAUGUAAAUUUUAAUUUUAAAGAGUUUAAUUACUGUACUGGUCAAAAGUGAUACUUAAAAAAUAUUUUAUUAAUAUUAUGCAAAUCAAGAAUUAUGUAUGAAAUUUAGUUAUAUUUCAAGAAUCUUAUUUUAAUUUUUAUCAUUUAUUACUUAAAGGUAGAAAUAGAAAAAAAAAAUGGGAUUUAAAAUAAAAUUUAGGCACAUAACAAAGAAACUUAUUUUAUUUUUUUUUAAUUUUUUGUCUAAAUUAAAUAUUUUAAAAAAUUGUGUCUGAAAUCUAUGGGCAUAUUAAGAACCUUAUUUUGUUCUUUUUCAAUUUUUUUUAUCUAAAUUAAAUGUAAAAUUUAAAAAUUAUGUCUGAAAUCUAGCGCGUAAAAAGACCCCCUUUAUUUAAUAGGUUUAAUGGAUUAAGAAAAAGUUUAAUUACUCUAUUGGUCCUUAUAGUUUUACAAAAAAUUUUAAUUAGGUCUCUAUACUUUUUUUCCUUUUAAUUGGGUUCCUGCACCAAUUUUUUUUUAAUUAGGUCUCUCUUAGCAGUAAUUGACUUAUUAAUUGUACAGGAACCUAACUAGAAAAAUUGGUGCAGAGAUUCAAAUAAAAUGAAAAAAAGUGUAGGAACCUAAGUAAAAAAAAAAUUAGUGCAAGCUCAAUUAAAAGGAAAAAAAAGUAUAGGAACCUAAUUAAAAAUUUUACGAAACUAUAGGAACUAACAUAGUAAUUAAACCUUAAGAAAAUAAUAUGGUUUCUUGCUACUAAUACCACAUAUCCUUAUCACUUCAAAAAUAAUUUCUAAUGCAAGUUUUAAUUUUAAAUUAGUUUAGUUACUGUACAGGUCAAAAAUGAUACCAAAAAAAUAUUUCAUUAAAAUUAUGGAACUCAAGAAUUAUAUAAAAAAUUUAGACACAUUCAAAUAAUUUUAUUUUAAUUUUUAUCAUUUAUUACUUAAAAAGUAAAAAUUAAAAAAAAUGAGACUCAAUCUAAAAUUUAGGCACAUAUAUAAGAGGGAACCUUAUUUUAUUUUAUUUUUUUGUCUAAAUUAAAUAUUUUUCAUAAGUUAUACCUUAAAUCAAUGUGCAUAAAGGGAACUUUAUUUUGUUUAUUUAUAUGUUGUCUUUUUAUUAGAGAUAUCCACUGAUUAUCUAAAAUUUAGGCCCUUUUAGCAAAUUUUUUAUUUAUUUUUUUACCUUCUGUCCAAAUUACUUAAAAGGUAGAAAUAGAAAAAAGUGGAACUCGGUAUGAAAUUUAGACACAUAACAAAAAAUCUUAUUUUAUUUUUUUUUAAUUUUGUCUAAAUUAAAUAUAAAAUCCAAAAAUUAUACGUGAAAUCUAUGCUUAUAGAAGAAACCUUAUUUUGUUUUUAUUCAUAUAUUAUCUUCUUAUUAGAGAUGUCUCUAAUUCUUUGUGAACAAGAAGAAUAUUCAUAGCUAUGACUUUCUCUAACUUCAAAUAAAUAAAUAAAUAAAUAAAUAAAUAUUAUCUAGUUUUAUUUAAUAGAUUUAAUGAAUUAUGAAAAUGAUACGGUCUCUCGUUAUUGAUACUAUAUCAGUAUCACUUAAAAAAUGAUAUUCAAUACAAGUUUUAAUAUUAGAUAAGUUUAGUUAUUGAAUAAGUCAAAAGUGAUACCUAAAAAAUAUUUUAUUAGAGUGAUAGAAUUCAAGAAUUAUUUUUGAAAUUCAGGCACAUUCAACUAAUCUUAUUUUAAUUUUUAUCAUUUUUUAUUCAAAUUACUUAAAAAGUAGAAGUAGAAAAAUGUGGGACUCAAUAUGAAAUUUAGGCACAUAACAGAAAUUUUUUUUUGUUUUUUUUUGUUUAAAUUAAAUGUGGGAUUCAAAAAUUAUGCUUGAAAUCUAGGCACGUAUAAAGACCUUAUUUUAUUCUUUUUUAUAUGUUGUCUACUUAUUAGAGAUAUUUACUUAUCCUCUCUUAACAAGAAAAUUAUUCUUGGCUAUGACUUUUUCUAACUUCCAAAAAAAACAAGCAUCAUCCAAAAAAAUAUGUUUUACAUAUAAUAAAUAAAUAAAAAAGUACUUUUAUAUUAUUAUACCCAAAUAUAAUUGAUAGAUAAAAAGAUAUUUUUGCAUGAGAUAUCCAAACAUAAAAUUACUUUUACUUUUUUUUAUAAGAUCUUUUAAAAAAAUAUAACUUAAAAAAAGAUAUUUUUUUAGAAGUUCAGCCAAACAAACCCAUAGAGAAGUUAAAAAAAUGACUUCUCUCAUAAUACUACUACUUUUUAUCACAUUUCUAUAAAAUAAGCACUUUUAAAACUAAGAAUCCAAACACAAAAUAACUUAUUUAUAAGCUACUUUUAAUAUAACUAUUUAUUGUUUAAGUUAUUUUUUUAAAAGGAGUUUAAUUAAGCUAUUUAUCUAAACUGAGCCUUAAUAGGUUUAACUGAUUACGAAAAUGAUACAAUUUUUCGUUACUGAUAUCACAUAUCAGUAUCACUUUAAAAUGAUUUUUCAUGUAAGUUUUAAUUUUAAAUGAGUUUAGUUAUUAUAUAGGUCAAAAGUGAUAUCUAAAAAAUAUUUCAUUAGAGUUAUAAAACUUAAGAAUUAUGUAUAAAAUUUAAGCACAUUCAAAGAAUCUUAUUUUGAUUCUUAUCCUUUUUUGUUCAAAUUGUUUAAAAUGUAAAAAUAGAAAAAAAUAAACUCAACACAUAAUAGGAAACUUAAUUUUGUUCUUUUCAAUCUUUUAUUUAAAUUAAAUAUAAAAUCUCGAAAUAAUGACUAAAAUCUAUGCGCAUAGAAAGAACUUUAUUUUGUUUUUUUUUAUAUGCUGUCUUCUUAUUUAAAAUAUUCACUGAUUUUUUGUGAAUAAGAAGAACAUUCAUGGCUAUGAUUUGUUCUAGUUUCGAAAAAAAACAUCAUCAUCUAAGUUUAUUUAAUAGGUUUAAUGAAUUAUGAAAAUGAUACGGUCUCUCUUACAGAUACCAAAUCAGUAUCACUUAAAAAAUUAAUAUUUAAUGUAAGUUUUAAUUUUAAUUGAGUUUAGUUACCGUAGAAGUAAAAAAUGAUACAUAAAAAAUAUUUUAUUAGAGUUAUAGAAUUCAAGAAUUAUAUCUGAAAUUUAGGCACAUUUAACAAUCUUAUUUUAAUUUUAUCAUUUUUUAUUCAAAUUACUUAAAAAGUAAAAAUAAAAAAAGAGACUCAAUAUGAAAUUUAGGGACAUAACAGAAAUUUUAUUUUGUUCUUUUUUUAAUUUUUUGUUUAAAUUAAAUGUAGGAUUAAAAAAUUAUGCCUGAAAUCUAGGCGCGUACAAAGACCUUAUUUUGUUCUUUUUUAUAUGUUGUCUACUUAUUAGAGAUAUUUACUUAUUCUCUCUUAAAAAGAAAAUUAUUCUUGGCUAUGACUUUUUCUAGUUUCCAAAAAAAAAACAAGCAUCAUCUAACUUUAUUUAGGACCCGUUUGCAAAAAUUUAAAAGUAAUUUUUUUUUUUAAUUUUUGACUUAUGAAAAAUAGUAGUAUUAAUGUCUGGUGUAAGUUUCAAAACAAAAUUGCAGUUUUUUAAGAAGCUAUUUAUGAGUUUAUAGAGAAGUUAAAAAAUAACUUCUCUCAUAAUACUACUAUUUUUUAUCACAUUUCUAUAAAAUAAAUACUUUUAAAACUAAAAAUUCAAAUACAAAAUAACUUAUUUAUAAGCUACUUUUAAUAUAACUAUUUAUUGUUUAAGUUAUUUUUUUAAAAAGAGCUUAAUUAGACUAUUUACCUAAACUGAGCCUUAAUAGGUUUAACUAAUUACGAAAAUGAUACAAUUUUUUGUUACUGAUAUCACGUAUUAGUAUCACUUUAAAAAUGAUUUCUCAUGCAAGUUUUAAUUUUAAAUGAGUUUAGUUAUUAUAUAGGUCAGAAGUGAUAUCUAAAAAAUAUUUCAUUAGAGUUAUGAAACUUAAAAAUUAUGUAUAAAAUUUAAGCACAUUCAAAGAAUCUUAUUUUGAUUCUUAUCCUUUUUUGUUCAAAUUACUUAAAAUGUAAAAAUAGAAAAAAUGAAACUCAGCACAUAAUAGGAAACUUAAUUUUGUUCUUUUCAAUCUUUUAUUUAAAUUAAAUGUAAAAUCUCAAAAUUAUGACUAAAAUCUAUGCAUAUAGAAAGAAUAUUAUUUUGUUCUUUUUUAUAUGUUGUUUUCUUAUUUAAGAUAUCCACUGAUUUUUUGUGAACAAAUUCAUGGCUAUGACUUUUUCUAAUUUCAAAAAAAAUAAUCAUCAUCUAGGUUUAUUUAAUAGGUUUAAUGAAUUAUGAAAAUGAUACGGUCUCUCUUUACAGAUAUCAAACCAGCAUCACUUAAAAAAAUAAUAUUUAAUACAAAUUUUAAUUUUAAUUGAGUUUAAUUACUGUAAAGGUAAUAUAUAUACAUAAAAAAUAUUUUAUUAGAGUUAUAAAAUUCAAGAAUUAUAUCUGAAAUUCAGACACAUUCAACAAAUUUUAUUUUGAUUUUUAUUAUUUUUAUUCAAAUUACUUAAAAAGUAGAAAUAGAAAAAAUUGGACUCAAUAUAAAAUUUAGGCACAUAACAGAAAUCUUAUUUUAUUCUUUUUUAAUUUUUUAUCUAAAUUAAAUGUGCAAAUUAUUCUAAAAUCUAAGUUGUAAACAAGAAAAUCAUUCUUGGCUAUAACUUUUUCUAGCUUCCAAAAAAAUAAACAUCAUCUAACUUUAUUUAAUAGGUUUAAUGGAUUACGAAAAUAAUACAGUUUUUUGUUACCGAUACCACAUACCAGUAUUAUUUUAAAAAUGAUUUCUCAAGCAAGUUUUAAUUUUAAAUGAGUUUAGUUACUGUAUACAUCAAAAGUGAUAUCUAAAAAAUAUUUUAUUAUAGUUAUAAAACUUAGGAAUUAUGUAUAAAAUUUAGACACAUUCAAAAGAUCUUAUUUUGAUUUUUAUCCUUUUUUUUUUUAUUCAAAUCAUAGUUGUCAGAACCGAACCGGUGAUCGAACCGGUCAGGUUACUGGUUUACUGGUUUAUUGGUUCAACCGAUGAGUUAUUGGUCCAACCGGUAAAACCGGUCUCAUGUAAAUAAAAAAUAUAAAAUAAUAAAAAAUCUAACAUUAAAAUUUAAAAUACAUAUUUUUACUAAUAUUUUAAGAAUAAUUAAGUCUCAAAUUCUAUAAAUAACUAAUAGAAAGAUAGACAUAAAAUUAGUCCGUACUACUAUAAUAAUAUCUUAGUUGGACACAGUAAGAAUAACAAUCUAUAAACUAUAUCCAAAGAGUAAUUUUAAAGUCUAAAUAUCUUUACAUAAUUAAAUAAUUAUAUAUAAAUUUAUUUUUUUAGAAUAAGUAAUUUUUAUUUUAUUUUAAAAUUAAUUAAUUUGUACUUCAAUUAAAAAAUAAUUAAUUUAAAAAAUAUUGAAAUAAAAAAUAUUGAAUUAAGUAUUUUUGUAUAUAUAUAUAUUAGUUAGGAUAUUAUAUAACAUACAAUAUAUAUUAUAAAGGCAUGAAGUAUUCUAAAAGAACAAACUAGUGUAGUGGUAGUUAGCUUGGUCUCCCUUUGAGAAGGGCCAAGUUCGACUCCUGCCUUGCAUUAUAUUUUUAAAAAAUUUCCCAACCCGCACGCUGACAUCAGCAUGACAUCAUCAAUGCGCGGGAUUGACUGUUGACUGUGUUUGUUGACCGAACCGGUUCGGUUCAAGUUCGUGCCGGUUUUGACCGGUUUAAUCGGUUCGUACCGGUUUUAACCGGUUUAAUUCCUUAAACGGUUAGUAUACUAAACCGGACCGGUACAUGGUCCGGUUCACCGGUUUUCCGGUCGAACCGGCCGGUCCGGUCCGGUUUUUACAACUAUGAUUCAAAUUACUUAAAAUGUAAAAAUUAAAAAAAUAAAAUCCGGUAUGAAAUUCAGGCACGUAAUAGGGAAUUUAAUUUUGUUCUUAUUUAAAUUAAAUAUAAAAUCCAAAAAUUAUGCCUGAAAUUUAUGAAAAAAAGAACUUUAUUUUGUUCUUUUUAAUACGUUGUCUUCUUAUUUAAGAUAUACACUGAUUCUUUGUGAAUAAGAAGAAUAUCCAUAACUAUGGAUUCCUCUAACUUUCAAAGAAACAAGAAUUCUCUUUUCACUGUGAUCCGUUUCUUUAAGAUUGUUCUCAGAAAAAGCCUUGAUGAUGGAUAUCUUGUGAGAAUUUUCUUUCCUUCCUAUCCUCUUUUUAUCUUUCACUGUUUUUAUUUUACACAUACAAAAUUUUUUUAUGUAUACUUCUUGUGUUUCACUAUUUUUGUCAUAUUUUCUAUGUGAGGUAACAAGCACACACAUGCAUGGUUUCUUUUCUUACCAGCAUAAUAUGCUCCUCAAUAUUUAUGCUUUUUUAGUUUUAAAUUUUUUAUUGUUAGUUAGUUAGAGUAGUAACUGAAUCAACAAAGCUGCUGUUAGGGAAGGAUAAUUCUUCGUAGGGGUGUUCAUAGAUCGGAUCCGAUCUACAACAGUAUUUAUCCGAAUCCGAUUUGAAAAUUGUGGAUAUAGAUUCGAUGUGUAAGACUAUCGGAUCGGAUCAGCACACUAAUCAGAUCGGAUUGCGAAUUUUAGGUAGAUAUUCGUAUAUCUGAUCAGCAUAUUUGCGUAUCCGCAAAAAUAAAGAAAUAAAUAAAUAAAUAUUCUUUUUAUGUUUUAUUUUAACUAAUAAUUAUCUUAUAUGUUGUAUUAUUUUAAUUUAUUAUUUAAAAAAAGUAANNNNNNNNNNNNNNNNNNNNNNNNNNNNNNNNNNNNNNNNNNNNNNNNCAAGUAAUAAUUAUUAUAUAUGUUGUAUUAUUUUAAUUUAUUAUUUAAAAAAUGUAUGUUUAAUAUUAUUUUAAGAAUAAACAUAUUUAAAAUAAUAAAAAAAAUAAAUUUUAUUAAUAUUUUUUUAAUAAAAAUAAGCUUUUAAAAAUAUUUUGUGUUUUGCGGAUAUCGAUCCACGUUCACCACUAAUUUCUUAGAAAGUUGUCAAGAGGUUGAGUGAUACAAAUAGAGUGAGUCGAAUCAAGUUUUGUUAUGGUGAGUUUUGAUAAGUAUGGCAUUGCAGAAAAUACCAAACAAGUUCAGUAGAAAAUAUGGUGGUGAUAUGCCAAAUCCAGUGCAACUCCAGCCUCCAGAUGGCACUGAAUGGAGAAUAGAUUGGACUAAUCAUGAUGGUGAGAUUCUGUUUGAAAACGGUUGGAAAGAGUUUGCUACAUUUUACACUUUGGAGAAUGGUCAUGUGUUGUGGUUUGAGUACAAUGGAACUUCUAACAUCAAAGUAAACAUAUUCGACAUGAGUGCCCUCGAAAUUGAUUAUCCUUCCAAUGGCCGAAUCGGUGAUGACAACUCGGUUGAGAUUUUGGAUGAACCGCCGGCACGAAGGGGCCGAGGCCGGCCGAAGAAAAAUGUGAUAGCAGAACCAAAGCAAUCACGUGCUUCUACUUCUACAAGCAAAAUAAUGAAAAGUGCCAUCAAAACUAAAGAUAUAGAUAAAAAUCCCAAUACAAAAAAAUUGAAGCAGCAUGUCGAGAAUGAAAAAGAUGGUCAAUCUGAAGAGUCAGCAGAUCUUAAGCUUCCAAUAAUUCAACGUGCCAGACCAGAUAUGGAUGGUCUGUUUCAUAAUCUCAUCAUUCUUUCAUUUUUUGGAUUCUACUGAUUUUGUUUAAUUUUUUUAUUUUCUUUGUUGCUAAAAUGCAUAAAUACUUCUUUUGUCAUAAAGAAGUUAUUAGAGAAGCAAAGAAGUUCAAGUCGAAAAAUCCUUCUUUUGUCAUAAAGAUUAAGCAAAUGCACCAAACAGGAUCACCAGCAGUAAGUUGAUUCAUUUAUCUCUGUGCAAACUUUGUAUGUCAUGCAAAAUUGAGACUGUUGUGAACCAUGAUGAUGAAAUAUUCUGAUAUGAUUGCAGAAUCUUCCAGUUUGUUUCUUCAGGAUGUACUUCGAGAACAGGAAGCAGUGGCAUGCAACAUUGAUCUAUUAUCCAAAUAGGAAGAAUGCCCUGAUCUCUAAUUGGCGCUUGUUCCUUGAAGAAAAUAACUUAAAAGCCGGAGAUGUUUGUAUCUUUGAGCUCAUUAACAGACAAGGUCCAGAUCUUAAGGUUCAUAUUCGUCGUAGCCAUGAUUAGCGAAUGGCUUUGCUUACUUGUGUUGCAGAUCAAUGGAGUAUGUUCGGGGAUCAAGAGUUGUAACAGAGUCAUAGUUUUCAUCAUACUAAAUGGUUGCAUUGCAGUGUUAUCUCCUUACUACCAUAACUAGAAAUAUAUAAGUGAUCCAUGCAGAAACAAUACAUGUAGAAUUAUAUAUUGUCGGUAGUAUAAGAUGUUAUUUGGACAAAGUACCUAAUCAAAAGUUGCCCAACUACUUAUUUUCAAAGCAAUUUAUGGUUUGGAUCCUAUUUCACUCAUUCUCCCUCAUUUAUUAUACUUGUCACUAUUUAGAAAGUUACUAAUUAUUUGCAGAGUUGCAGCAAUUCCAUAAAAAAUUCCAAUGUAAAUAACUUUUAAUGAGUGUAUAACUUUUUUUAAUUCAUUGUAUUGGAAUAAUAGGUAAAUUGGUACAAGUUUAUUAUGUCAUAUUUAAACAAACGUAAAAUGUUUCUGAUAGAGAUAAAUGUAUAACUUACUGGUGAAGAUCCAGAUAGUUGAGUUUGCCUUAUCUUGGUUAAGAAAGAGGGAUUAUUUGACUUGAACUUCAUUGCCUCUUGAACAACUUUACAUGUACACCAUAAAAAUUUGCAUAAAAGUUACUUGUAGCUAAGUUCAAGCUUCAAACAACACAGUAAUUUUUAUUCAUUUGAACGAAAUUUAAACACAGCCUAAGAACAAUAAGAUAUUUAAUGCAUAGUUACAUGAAAUGCAAUACACCAUAUGUAAAAUAUUUUAUUUGGAAUAUAUGCGUACGCUGCUUUCAACACUGCAACACUGCAUUCUUCAUUCAGAUUGACUAGCUUCAUUCUUGCAACACUGCAUCCAGUUUUGUUUAUCAGGGGCCUUCUCUACAUCUCCAGUUUUGACAGAACUCAUCAAUAUUUUACUUGUAGAAGGAGAUGAUACUUCUGCUGCUGCUUUCAAUUUUUUCCUCGGCCGGCCUCGGCCUCUUCGUGGCGGUUCAUUCUCAACCUUAACCAUGUUGUGAUCAUCAAUGUGGUCCUUGGAAGGAUAGUCUAUUUCAGGGCACCUAGUUUUGGCAGAACUUGUGAACAUUUUACUUGUACAAGCAGAUGGUGUCUUUAGUGCUGCUUUCCCUGUUUUUCUCGGCCGGCCUCGGCCUCUUCGUGGCGGUUCAUUCUCAACCUUAACCAUGUUGUCAUCAUUAAUGUGGUCCUUGCAAGGAUAGUCUUUUUCACGCCACCAUUUCACUCCUCUAGCUUUGGCAGAACUUGUGAACAUUGUACUUGUACAAGAAGAUGGUGUCUUUGGUGCUGCUUUCUCUGUUUUUCUCGGUCGGCCUCGGCCUCUUCGUGAAGGAUAGUCUAUUUCAGGGCACCAUUUCACUACUCUAGUCAUGGCAGAACUUGUGAACAUUUUGCUUGUACAAGGAGAUGGUGUGUUUGAUGCUGCUUUCUCUGUUUUCCUUGGCCGGCCUCGGCCUCUUCGUGGCGGUUCAUUCUCAACCUUAAUGGAUCCAGAAAAUUUUAUUAGCGGAAUGAAAAUAUAUAUAACAUGAUAAUUAUUUUUAUAUUUAUUAUUAUAAUUAAUUUUUAAAUUAUCUCACAAAUAAAUUAAAAUAAUAAAAUAAUUAUUUAAAUAAUAAUCUGUUAAUAAUUUAACAUCAUAAAAUUAAAAUUAAAAUCAAAUUCACUAAUUAAAUACAAUUUUAAAAUCAAUUCAUAAAACAAUAAAAAAAUCCCUCGUGAAAGUAGCAGUAAAAUCAUAUAUACAUAACACACUAUUGCUGCUGCUUUGGCUAUAAUUUUUUUUUUAAUUUUGUGAUAAAACUAAUCACAUGAAUAAGAAAAAAAGAAACAUACAAUAGAGUAUAAAAGUUUAAUCUUUUUCACACAUAUAUAUGAACUAACUCUCGAGAAGAUCUUAAAUAGAAUCAUAUAAAAAGAUGAAUCAGAGUUAGUAGUNNNNNNNNNNNNNNNNNNNNNNNNNNNNNNNNNNNNNNNNNNNNNNNNNNNNNNNNNNNNNNNNNNNNNNNNNNNNNNNNNNNNNNNNNNNNNNNNNNNNNNNNNNNNNNNNNNNNNNNNNNNNNNNNNNNNNNNNNNNNNNNNNUAUAUAUAAAAUUUUUAAAACUCAGUGGGAGCACUAACCAUGUUGUCAUCAUCAAUGUGAUCCUUGGAAGGAUAGUGUAUUUCAGGGCACCAUUUCACUUCUUUAGUUUUGGCAGAACUUGUGAACAUUUUGCUUGUACAAGGAGAUGGUGUCUUUGGUGCUGCUUUCUCUGUUUUCCUCGGCCGGCCUCGGCCUCUUGGUGAACUUGUGAACAUUUUACUUGUAGAAGGAGAUGGUGUCUUUGGUGCUGCUUUCUCUGUUUUUCUCGGCCGGCCUCGGCCUCUUCGUGGCGGUUCAUUCUCAACCUUAGCCAUGUUGUCAUCAUCAAUGUGGUCUACUUCAGUUGUGGCAGAACUUGUGAACAUUUUACUUGUAGAAGGAGAUGGUGUCUUUGGUGCUGCUUUCUCUGUUUUCCUCGGCCAGCCUCGUGGCGGCAGUUCAUUCAAGAUCUCAAUCGAAUCAUCAUCGCUGAUGUGAUCCAUGGAAGGAUAGUCUAUUUCAAGGCAAGUCUUGUCAAAAAUGUGUACUUCAAUGUUAGAAGUUUGAUUGUACUCAAACCACAGCAAAUGGCCAUGAUCCAAAGAGUAAUAUGAAGCAAAUUCUUUCCAACCAUUUUCAAAUAGAAUCGCACCAUCAUACUCAGACCAAUCUAUCUUCCAUGCAGUGCCAUCUCGAGGCUUCAGAUACACUGGAUUUGGAACACUGUCACCAUAUUUCAUACUGAACGUUUUUGGUACCUCCUGCAAUUCAAAUGAAAGUAUGAAACUAGUCUUAGUAAUAAGCAUAAAUGAAAGAAACCCUUACAAGGGAAAAAUCACAAAGAGAAAUGCAUGCAUUAAAUAAUAUUAUAAGUAAAGAGGAUAUGAAGUGAAGAAAAUGCUUACAAUGUUUCCAUCUUCAAGGUUUUGUCUGAGAACAAUCUUGAAGAAACCGGCAGAGGAAGGAGAAUGCUUGUUUCUUUGGAAACUAGAGGAAGCCAUGGAUGUUGACCAACUCGCUACUUCAUUAUAAGCACGUACUUAUAUAUACACAUGAAACAGAAAAAACAACACACACACACCGUGCAACUAGAAGUGAUAAACCAAAAACUAUGUUUGAACUCUUAAUUAUAGAGGAUUAAAAUGCUAGUGGUAGUUAAAAAUGGUUUUAUCUUUAAUGUAUCAAUAAGGUUCUUAAAUGUGGAAAAGACUAAAAAAUUAUUUUAAAAGAAUUCUUAACCUCUCCAAUUUUUAUAAAUUUUAUUUGAUAAAUAAAAAAAAUUUCUCUCAAAAUAGAAAGCACAAAUUUAGAAUAUAUUUAUAUUCUAAAAAAAAAUCUUACAAAUAUUGGAAUUAUAAUAGACAUAAAAUUAAUUAUAAUUAUUUUAGAUUUUAUUAAUCUUCAAUCUUUUUUUAUGAUAUACUAUUUUACUGCAUUCAUGGAUUAGAUUCAUAGGUAAAUUACAAUUUUGAAUCAAAUCCAUGAAAAAUUCUACCUCACUUUUUUUUAUCCUUAUACCAAACACAACCUUGUCUUUCACUUUGAGAAGAUAACAAUGCAAUCAUGAAGUGCCAAAACAAGAAAUAAAAUUAAAACACUUAGUUCAUACAUAUAUAUAUAUAUAACUGGUCCAAACCAAAAAGGAUUGAAUACAGUAGAAGUUUGAUUCAACAGAAAAGAAAAAAAAAGGUGAUACAUUCUUCAUGAAAUUAACCUUAUUUAAGAAUUAUGAGCUCUUAGUUCGUGAAGUUAUAAUACAUUAGCCUAGCAUUGGGCUCUACAAAUAUGAACAUCAAACAGAUCUUUUUCAUUGAUGAACUCAAAAACACAAACAUCUCCAGCUUCUAAUUUACUUGCUCUAGCAAAUGAGCUCCAACCAGCCGAAAUAAAGCUGUUUUUCGAUGUCGGAUUGUAGAUUAUCGUAGCAGGCCACGACUCCUUUCCGAACUGUAAUUUUACAUCCUGCUGAUUCUUUUUAAAAUACUUUCUGUAAAAGAUAGCUGAUAAGUUCUGCAUCACAUUCCAUUUUUGAAUUGCCAUGUUAAAAAAUAGUUAUAAACUUACAAUUUGCGAAACUAAGUAUAAACUAGCACUCAGAAGUUUGCAUGGCAUAUUAUGUUUUGUCAUCGAUGAAAUGUAUUGAAGUAAACUUACAGGCCUUGAUCUCCUUGGAUCACUGUCUCUUAUCUUGACCAUGAAAGAGGGAUUCUGUGAGUUGAGCUCCUUAACUUCUUUUGGGAGCUGAAUCACAUGAGUCACUGGUUUGGAAAGUGACUCUGAUACAUAAAAGAAUUGUAAAAAAUUAGCAUGAAUUUUACUUGUGAAGAGUUUUGGAUACAAGUAUAUCUAUAGGGUUGGAGACAACAAAAAUUUUAGCAUAAGAUUAGUUUAUAUAACAAAUUGUGGUUACAUUAAGGACCAAAUACAUAGUCACUGCAUUCAUAAGCUAACUGCAUUCUUAGCAGAACUAACAAUAGUUUCCUUAAGAUUAAAAUUCUGCUGCUAUAAAUGUUUUAAGGAAGGGAAGAAUUAGAGAUUUGUAAAAUGUACUCCAAAUCAAACACGGGUCAAUUAAUUUUUAAUAUAAUUUUUUUAAUGAGAAUAAUGCUAAAUUCUAUUCCAUUUUUAAAGUUAAUUAUGUUUUCAAUGUUGUACUAAUAUCUUAAUUUUUUACAGAACAACAAAUUCUUAAACAAUUGCCUUACCGCGGCGUUGUCGACGACAAAUAUGAACAUCAAACACCGGAUCCUUUCUAUUGAUGAGCUUAAACAAACAAACAUCUCCGGCUUGUAAUUGACUAGCUCGAGCAAAAAGGUUCCAACCAGCAGAGAUAAAGGCAACACAUGAUGAUGGCCUAUAGAUCAACUUAACAGGGAACAACUUCUUUCCAAACCUUAUAUUUGCAUUUUGUGGAUUAUUUUCAAAAUACUUUCUGAAGAAUUUAGUUGAAAAGUACUGCAGCACAUCAUAUUUAUGUCAUCAUGGUUAGAAAUAAGACACAAAGUUUGAAAGAAUAAUAGCACAUGCAAGUUCACAUGAUACAUAAUUUUCAACAUGAUAUAUGUAUUCACCUAUACUUACACAUGGUGCUCUCGUUUGAGACCGUUGCGUUAUCUUGAUGAUGAAAGAGGGCUUUUCCCACUUAAACUUCUUAGCUUCUUUCAGAGAUUCAGGUCUUGCAGGACAGGGCCUAAUAGAAGAUUCAGAAUCUUUUCUUCUUCUAUUCCGUUUGCCUUGUACAUAGGAAAAAAAGAAUGAGAAACUACCACUGUAAUGUACACAAAGCAGUUACAAGUUGUAACUCAAAAACAACAACGGUUGAAUCCACAAAAGGAAAGGAUGAUCCAAUUAUGAGACACGUACCAUUAUAAUCUUGAUUGACAGACACUAGCAUCUCACGGUUUUUCUCUUUGGAUUUAAUACCGUGUGAAUUGAGGCUUCUUUCAACAUCCCUGAUUUGUGUGUCAUUUUCCAAUUGUCUACUUUUAGAAGCAGAUGACACUAGUGCUCUCAGUUUUUUAGUCGGUUGGCCCCGGACUUCUCUUGGCAAUUCAUUCAAUCUUUUCUUCUGCGGUCCCUCGUUAAGUCUCAUGUUUUGGGUGCUGGGACUGCUAUCCACAUGUCUAGUUUUUUGUUCUUCUGGCCUUUUCACUGACUGCUGAUCUCUGCGUGGCAGCUGCUCUUUGAUCUGAUCAUUGUCAGGAUACUCUAUUUGGAGGCAACCCAUGUCAAAUAUGUGUACUUCCAUGUGAGAAGUUCCAAUAUUAUAAUCAAACCAUAACAAAUGGCCAUGAUCAAGAGAGUAAUAUGCAACAAACUCUUUCCAACCCUUUUUAAACAAAAUUUCACCAUCCUGAUUAGUCCAAUCUACUCUCCAUUCAGUACCAUCCGGAGGCUUAAGAUACAAUGGAUUUGAUAGGCCAGAACCAUGUUUUUCAGUGAACUUUAUUGGUAACUUCUGCAGUGUUAUGAAUCUGGCGUUAGCAACCAUAAUAACAAUAAGGUGACACACAUUAGUAUGUCUUCACCAAGAUGUUGACAUGUAUUAUGUUAAAUAGUUUAGUCAAAUAUAUCAAACUAUUUAACGAUUUUCGACUAUCAUCUUCAUAUAAUAAUAACAUUAAACUCCCAAUUCAUCCUUCACUAAUAAUUAUAAAUAGUGCAGUAAAAUAGUCCAAACAUAUUAGUCCUAAAUUUUGUAUGUAGGUAAAGAUUAAUCUUUCACCUGUUUUAAAGGAGAGACUAAUUUCAAAUUUCAAAAGGCUAUUUUGCAGCAUUAUUUGCAUAAUUAGAGACUAGGAGUGAAAUAAAAAAAAUGUUAAAAGAAGGCAUUGUCCAACAUGAAAAUUGGUAGGGACCAAAUGAGUAAUAACAAAAUUAGAACUCAUGCAUAACGAAAAAAUGAUGAAUAUGAUAAUUUUUCAAAUCACUGCAAUAUGUCCUAUGAUGAGUGAAAGUGUUACCUAGAUCAUUUUUCAUUUUUUAAUCGUAAUUAAUUUUGUAGUAAGAAUACAUACGGAGUACAUAAAAUGUAACCAUCUAACAAAUAUGUUUUUAGGUUUUCAUUCAUCUUAUGUAUUUUUUAUUUUUAUGUACUUCUGCUACAAAAUUAAUUAUGAUUAAGCAUACAUUAUUGUAAAUAAAAAAUGAUCUAGAUAACAAGAAGAAGGAGUUUACUAUUACUAUAUUUUCAGCUAAGAAGCCAUGCAUGUGUGUUGUUCUAUGAAGAAAAUGUUUAUAAAUGAGAAAAAUUAUAUACAGAGAAAUAAAGAGAGAAACUUUUUGUUAACUAAAUAAUAUCUCAAAAGAUAAACAGAUUAAAAGAAAAAGAUGAGAUGAAGAAGACGAGAGAAAAUGCUUACAAAGUCAUCAUCUUGAAGAGCUUGUUUGAGAAUAAUCUUAAAGAAAGAAAUCACAGUAGAAGUAGAAGGAGACUGCUUGUUUUGUUGAGAGCUAGAAGAAGCCAUAGCAAACGAAUGAUGGAUGGAUUUGACUAUUGUUGAGGCUGAAAGUCUCUGUCACCCGGUAUUCCUUAAAUAACCUUAUUUUGGGAUAACAAUUAAAUUAAAAAAAUAACAAGUGAGUACUAAAAUAAGUUAUAUAUAUAUUUUAAUUUAUUUUUAAUAUAAAUUUUAUAUUUUUAUAUGUAUUAUAUAUGUAUAAAUAAUUUUAAUAUAUAUUUAAAANNNNNNNNNNNNNNNNNNNNNNNNNNNNNNNNNNNNNNNNNNNNNNNNNNNNNNNNNNNNNNNNNNNNNNNNNNNNNNNNNNNNNNNNNNNNNNNNNNNNNNNNNNNNNNNNNNNNNNNNNNNNNNNNNNNNNNNNNNNNNNNNNNNNNNNNNNNNNNNNNNNNNNNNNNNNNNNNNNNNNNNNNNNNNNNNNNNNNNNNNNNNNGGACUGAUUCCUUUAUAAUUGAUUGCGGAGUUAAUGGUAUUAUUAGAGAGACGAUAAAAAAAUAGUUAAAAUUUAUUUUAUAAUUAUUUUUGUCUAAUUUUUUCUUUUUGCUAGCAAACAUUUUUGAAAUGAUAAUAUGAAAUGCCAUUAGAUAAACUAAACAAAAGGAGAAGGUGCACAUGAAAAAAAAACAAAAUAGAGGCAUAAUGAAAUAGCACGAUAAAUAUUAGUACAUGGAAGAAGUUAGAUGAUAAAGGCAAAACGUGUAUCUUUAACUGUUAUAGCACAAACUCAAAAGUAUACAAGCUGUAUAAUCCAGAAUUAAAGAAGGUGAUCAUCAGUAAAAAAUGUGACGUUUGACGAGAAAAAUAUGUAGGACUGGAACAGAAAGACAGUAAAGCAGCCGAUUAUAAUUCCAAAUUCAUGUGAUGAAAUAGAACAAAGAUAAUCUAACACAACUAAACAACUAAAAUCAUCUAGAAGACCUCAAAAAAAAAUAUAAACUACCUACUAGAUUGGCAGAUUAUAAAAUUGACAGUGAUGAUGAGAAUAUAUUACGAAAAGAAUGGCAACAAUCUUUUUAAAUUUGUGUAACUAUAUUUUAAAUUGUAACUCAACAAUUGGCAGCGGUUUUAAAUCCGCUGUCAUAUCUUAACAGAAUAAUUCAACGGAUAGCAUUUUGUAGCGGUUAACAACCGCUGCCAUCUCCAAGCAGUCAUAUUCUUACGAUUUUGUAGCGAAAAUAACCGCUGCAAAAUACCAUUUAACAGCGGUUGUUCCAGCGGUUGCUAUUAACCACUGCAAACGGUUUAACCACACGCUAUCUUUUAGCGAAUAUACCAACUGCUGCUAUCCGUUUGGCAGCGGUUAAAAACCACUGUUAAUCCUGUACAUAACCGCUGUUAUUUAUCGGAUAUGGUGUAGUGCAUUAGUUAAUUGAUAAUAUGAGAUAUGUCAUUACUCAUUAACUAACCUUAUUUAGGAAAAAAAAUAGAGCUUAAUUAGGAGGGUUUGAUCAUCAGAUAAAAAUUAUAAGAUCAAUUUAAUUAUUUUUUCUAUUAUUUAUAAACCAAAUUGAUUAUUAGAUAAAAGUUGGCAACUAAUUUAAUUAUUAUUCAAUUUAGUCACCAAUUUAAAAUAUUUUAUGCUAUUAAAUUUUAAUAUUAUUUUUAAUAACUUACAAUUAGAAUAAUCAAAUUUUAACUGCUUUAUUGGAAUAUAAAUUGAUUAUUAUCAUAUAUUAUUGGUUCGGAAUUUUAAUUAAGAAUUACAAAACUUACGUCAUUAUAUAUUUCUUUCAUUUAGACAAAUUCUUUCAUAUAUAUUUACAAAUAAAAUAAAAGAUUAAAAUUGAGUGUAUUUAACUUAAUAACAAAAAUUAAUUCAUAAAAUAAAAAAGUUAUCUUUAACACAUCCAUUUUUAAAACGGUAACCUUUCUAAUAUACGAAUUAUUAUGAUUUAAAUAGUAUUUAUAUUUUUUUUUUGUUUUUUGUUUUUUGUUUUUUUUUACAAAUUGCAAUGAAAGGAUAUUAUUUACACAAGAAUAACAAAUAAGGGCAAAAAUUUAAGAAACUGGCUUUUUUUUUUUCUGAACGAACAUAAUAUAUCUAUGAGAAAAACUAAACUAAACCCAGUGAUAUCCCUAAUAAAUAGUAGAAAAAAAUGUAUUGUUUAAUUAUAAACUGGAGCUUGUUAUUUAUUUACUUCUGACCCCUUUUUUAAUUAUUUUAUUCAUUUAUGUUAACUCACAAAAAAAAUAAUAAAAAAAUACAAACGGGUCAAAAUGUUAUCAAAACCCGUUGUUCUUAUAGUAAUCCCAGAUUUCAAGGUACUUUUUUUGUAUUAACUGUGAUAUAUUCUCUGCAGAAAUAUUUUUUAUGUAGUAAAAAUAAUUGGCUUCUUAAGUUGUUUUGCUUUUAUGUAUUUUCUAAUUUUUGGCCCUCUCCUUUGUUUGUGAUGCUUUUAAGAAUUUAUAGAGCAUGAAAGAUAUUUGAUAGGACUGUAAUAAACAUUUUUUCAAAAACUUAAACUAAUUGAACUCUUGAUCUUUUAGAUUCAGAAUUUUUAUACCAUGUCAUGAUACUACUCAUCCCAAAAACUUCAGUUAAUGACAAAAGAUAACACUAAUAAUUAUAUCUCUAAUACUCUCUAAUCUUCCAUUACACACAUUAUAUAAAUAUUCCAUUAGCUCCUCAUGAUUUUCCUAUUUAAAAACUUCUGAUAGAUUAAAAAGUGACCGUUGAUAAUGCUUUAUACCUUCAUUAAAGUGGAUAAUUUUAUUAUUGACGUUCUUCUUCUUCUCUUGCUAUUAUAUCUUGUUAUUUUUCUUUUGUAGUGUAUUACUUAAUCAUGAAUUCAUGAUCAUAAUGCAUGCAGCAGGUUUAAUUUGCAUGUUUGUUGAUUGGAUGUCACGGAAGCAAGUUUUGUCCCGAGCCUUCGUUUUUGGAGAAUCUGGGAAAAGUAAGACACAUGCUUUGGAACAAUAAUUUUGACCGAUAACUCCAAAGAUAAGAAAGAUCAAAUUAAUAGGUACGUGCCUACGUGGUGUACAUGCAAACACAUUAAUGAUAACUUUUAAAAUAUAUUUCCAAUAAAAUACAAUUAUGAAGAAGAUAUAUAAUAACUAAAAUAAAUUUACCAAUUAGAGUUAAUUUUAAAUAUUUUGACGUAACAUUAUUUAAAUAUUGUAACUUAAUUAUUUGUACUUAGUUGUAUAUAUUAUUGUUGAAUGUUUAUAAUUAAUUAUGAGAGCAUUUUUAAUAUUAGUUCUAGUUUCAUUUUAUUUUGGUCUUACAAAAAUAUUUGUACAGUGAGACUAUAUAUCAUAAAUAGUGAUUUAAAAUUAAAAGUGAAUUUUGGCCUUCUAAUACUUAAUAUUAAUUUAAUUAAAAUUUUAUAUUAUUUUUAUUUAUUUUAUCAACAUAUUAUACAAGUACCAAAAUUUUAUUGGUUCUUUAUCAACGUGAUACCCGUAUAUCUCUAAUUUAAAAUUUUUUACUAAUGAUAAAUUUAUUAUGUAUCUUUAGAAUACAUAUUAGCUAAACUCUUUUUUUUUUAUAGGUGAACCGAUGAAUUUUCUUUUAAUGAAUAUUACAUGAUAAAAUGAGAAAAAAAUUGAAAAAAAACUGCGUUCAAAAUUUUAAAAUAUACCUAAUAUUGGAUCCGUCUAUUUUGCUUCAGUUUUUGAAGUAUCACUUCUCUUCUUCGACUUUUUUUUUUUUUACUUAACUGUGGUAUUCUCUGCAAAAAUAUUUUUGUUUAGUAAAAAAAAUUCGUUUCUUAAGUUCCUUUACUUUUGUGUAUUUUCUAAUUUUUGGCUUUUAAAUAUUUUUUAAUUUUUGGCCCUCCCCUUUUGCUGAUGCUUCUUAAGAAUUUAUAGAACAUAAAAAAUAUUUGACAUGAUUGUACUCCCAUAUCUUCCAGCUCAUUCUUUGUUUAUUUAAAACUUUUUGACAGGUUAAGAAGUGGGCGCUGAUGCUUUAUACCUUCGUUCAACCGAUAAUUUCAUUAUUGAUGUUCUUCUUCUCUUGCUAUCAUAUCUUAUUACUUUUCUUUUGUGUUGUACUACUUAAUCAUAAUCAUAAUGCAUGCAACAGGUUUUUUUUUUUGGACAUAUUUAGGGCAAUCAUAAUGCACGCAACAGGUUUUUUUGGACAUAUUUAGAGCUAAGCCCAAAUCCUAUCCGAGCCCAUAACCCAACCCGCCCAAACCCAAACCCCAAUCUGAUCUUCUCUCUCAAAGCGUUUAAUUCUUUCACCAAGAGACAAGCUCCCAUGGCCUCCACAGGUUUAAUUUGCAUGUUUGUUGAAGUCCAAUAAAAAAUCUUGAGCCUUCGUUUUUGGUCUUGAGGAAUAUUGGGCCAUAUUGGCCAGACUUCUUCUAUUUUUCUUCUAAUUUUUUUGUUUUAUUUUUUUGGUAUCGAUAGAACUGAACUUUUUUUUUUAUACAGAAUAAUAAGUGCAAACUAAAUUAUCAACUACUGUCUUUUUUUUUUUUUGGAAAUAUUAUCUUGGAUCGGACAAAAUUUGGUAUUCACACUAGAACAUUGAAAAAGUUUGAAAUCAAAUUUAAUUGAAUUUCAAGUCCAAAAAAAAAUUUUAAUUGAAUUUGAAAACUAAAUUACAUCCUAAAUAAUAGAAACUAUAAGAAUGUAAAUUAUUUUUUUAGUGCAAGACAACAUAACAUUCAUGAAUAACGAAGAAUCAUAAAUAAAUGAAAGCUUUAAGUUGAUGAUUAAACUUAAAGAAUUUAAAGUAAAUUUGAAUAAAAAUUUAAUUAGUCAAAAUUUCUACUAAAUUCCUGAAAUAUUACAAAUUUCAUAUGAAUAAAAAUAUAUUAAGUUUUCUUUUAUUUUUUAUGAAUGUGUUAGUGAAUUUAAAAAAUAAAAAAUAUAAUAAUAUUAUUUAAAUGAAUGAAUAAUCUGGGAUUAAUAGUGUGGAUAUUAUAUUUAAAAGAUAGAGUAUGUGUAAGUACAUUAUAAAUUCAAUAGCAUAAUUGUUGUUAUAAUUAUAUUUUAUUAUUGUAAAAUAUGAUUAGGUUUCAAGAUAUCUAAUUACAAAUUAAAAUACGAAAAUAGUAAUUUAAAUAAUAACACAUAAUUUAAAAUUUAGUUUUUUAUAUUUCAUAUUUUGAAACCUUGACAAUAUAAUCAAAAUGUCUUUUUUUUUAUAUAUAUAUGUCGUUAAACAAUCAUUUAAAACUCAACUUUCAUACAAUUAGCUCUUGAUAAUAUUUAUAGUUGAAAAAAUUCAUUCAAUUAGUGUAGUUAUUAUGAAAAAAAAACUAAAGCUAAUUUCAAAAGAAGAAACACAAAUGGAUAGAUAAUAUUCUUUCGAGCCAAUUUCUAAGAAAGAACACCAAUCUUAUUUAAAUUUAAAAAUUGAUUAUUAUAAUGGACAUCUAAUAUGAAGUUCUCAAAUUGAUUAUCAAGUGUCGAAAGUUGAAUAAAAAAUUAUUGUGGGGUCAAAUUUAAUAAUUUAAUGGGGACAAAUAAAUAUUAUUAUUAUUAUAUAUUACUCAAUAAAAUUUCAAAUUGUAGCGGGGGCGCUUGCCCCACACGUAUAGGAGGGGAUCCGUCCCUGCAUGCAUGGUCUCCAAAUUCAACGACCGCAUGAAAGUAGGCUCCACAAACGUAUGCUGGUUUAUUAGUGCAUUUACCACCUCUGCCACUAUAGUGCCGUCAGCCUGAUCUUCGUCUCCACCCGGAUCAACGACCUCAUAGUUACUUUCAAACUCCUCCUCACUAUCACUAUUAUAAUCUUCCAACUCAAUAUUUUGGUCUGCUUCAGAUUGUUCGAACUCAAUAUACAGUUCGAUGAACGAUAUCUAUGAGGGAGUUUUCAUAUACACUGAAAACAUAUCUUGUAUGCUUGCUUCAUCGGUUACAUAUUUGGUUUGAAACUGAAUGAACCCACCAAAUACGGAUAUAGGAUACCUAUACAAAAUGCACGACACUCUCCUAGAUAUUUGAGAAUUCAUUUUUCUCACAAACUAUACCUUUUAAUUCUUCAAACGAUAAUGUGAGUGGAAUAACAAUUUUAGUCAUAUACAAAUUCAAAAUUAUAGCAUGAAUGAAAUUGGGCCGUCCGAUUACCAUAUUCAUUUUUUUUUGCAAACACAAAUCGGACUAUCCAAUUUGUGUUCCCCUUCUGCCGUAAAAAAAUUGAACAGUCCGAUUUCUUUCCACUAACUUCGAAAAUCUAUUAACCCCUCGUACCUCCAUAACUCAGCGUUACACACACUUCAUUGUCAUAUUAAAAAUAAGGAAAAGUCCAGGAACUAACUCUCUAACUAGCCAAUUUGAACAACUCAAUUAAUUAUAUUAAUUUUAAUUUAUCAAUUAAUUUGAAUCAUUCUCAUUAAUGAUUAUUUUAAAAAAAUAGAAUUUGCAAUUAACCGCCUAAUUGGAACAUGAUUCACGGCCCUGUUAGGACUCCUCCUCUUUCUACACAUUAAGCUUAAUUCAUUUCGCCGACGUUCUCAAGAGACGUAAACAAGUAAAUAACACUGCACAAGAAAAAUAAUUGACCGACAAUCCCAAAAAAAAAUUAAGUAUAUGUAAUUUAAAGAGCAUGAAUAAUAGAAACCUUAUUUUGUUCUUUUUCAAUUUUUUGGUCUAAAUUAAGUGUGGAAUUUAAAUAUUAUGUUUGAAAUCUAACAUAGAAAGACCCUCUUUAUUUAAUAGAUUUAUUGGAUUAAGAAAAUAAUACGAUUUUUCGUUACUGAUACUACAUAUCAUUAUCACUUAAAAAAUGAUUUCUAAUGCAAGUUUUAAUUUUAAAAGAGUUUAGUUACUGUACAGGUAAAAAGUAAAACCUAAAAAAUAUUUUUCAUUAAAAUUAUAAAACUAAAAAAUUAUGUAUGAAAUUUAGGCACAUUCAAAAAAUCUUAUUUAGAUUUUUAUCAUUUAUAAAUUAGAAAAUAGAAAUAAAAACAAGUAGGACUCAUUAUAAAAUUUUGGCACAUAACAAAGAAUCUUAUUUUAUUCUUUUUCAAUUAUUUAUCUAAAUUAAAUGUUUUUCAGAAAUGGUACCUAAAAUCUAUGUGCAUAUUAGGAAUCUUAUUUUUUUAUUUACAAUUUGAAGAAUUUUUUUAUUAGUUUUGGAUGAUUUUUUUUCUUAUGUUUUGUAUGUUUUUUUCUUUAAGAUUUAGAUUAUUCUUUUUCAUUAAUUUUGGAUGAUUCUUUUUUUUGUGUUUUGUAUAUUUUUUUCUUAGAAUUUAGAUGAUUCUUUAUCUUAUAUUUUAUUAUUUUUAUCUUUUUUAGAAUUUGAACUUUUUUUUUAGAAAGAGAAAUUAGGAUUUGCUUGAUAAAUAGUAAAAAGUAAAUUAGAGUAAGAGGAGGUAAUUAAUAAUUAUUAUUUUUGUAUCUUUUAAAAAUUAAAAUUUAAAUAAUCAUCAAUUAAUGAUAAUUAAUGAGUAUAGAAUGCAAUUCAAAAAUGUUUGUUAGCUAUACCCGUGUUGGUUCCCAAGCAAAAUUGUAAAAAUAAUGAGCCAUAUUAUAGGAAUCUGGGAAACUAACAAAAAAAUUGAAAAGUGAGACAUGCAUGUUUUGGAACAAGUAAAUAACACUGCACAAGAAAAAUAAUUGACCGACAAUUUCAAAAAAGAAAUUAAGUGUGUGUAAUUUAAAGAGCAUGAAUAAUAGAAAUCUUAUUUUGUUCUUUUUCAAUUUUUUGGUCUAAAUUAAGUGUGGAAUUUAAGAAUUAUGUUUGAAAUCUAGCAUCGAAAGUCCCUCUUUAUUUAAUAGGUUUAUUGGAUUAAGAAAAUGAUAUAUUUUCUCGUUACUGAUACCACGUGUCAUUAUCACUUCAAAAAUUAUUUCUAAUGCAAGUUUUAAUUUUAAAAGAGUUUAGUUACUGUACAGGUCAAAAGUAAAACCUAAAAAAUAUUUCAUUAAAAUUACAGAACUCAAGAAUUAUGUACGAAAUUUAGGCACAUUCAAAAAAUUUUAUUUAGAUUUUUAUCAUUUAUAAAUUAGAAAAUAGAAAUAGAAAAAAAAGUGGGACUCAUUAUAAAAUUUAGGCACAUAAUAAGGAAUCUUAUUUUAUUCUUUUUUAAUUAUUUGUCUAUAUUAAAUAUUUUUCAGAAAUUGUACCUAAAAUCUAUGCGCAUAUUAGGAACUUUAUUUUUUAAUUUACGAUUUGGAGAAUUUUUUUUAUUAGUUUUGGAUGAUUUUUUUCUUAUGUUUUGUAUGUUUUUUCUUUAGGAUUUGGAUGAUUCUUUUUUUAUUAGUUUUGGAUGACUCUUUUUUUUUGUAUAUUUUUUCUUAGGAUUUGGAUGAUUCUUUAUCUUAUAUUUUAUUAUUUUUAUUUUUUUUAAAAUUUAGACGUUUUUUUUAGAAAGAGAAAUUAGGAUUUGCUUGAUAAAUAGUAAAAAGUAAAUUAGAGUAAGAAGAGGUAAUUAAUAAUCAUUAAUUUUGUAUCUUUUAAAAAUUAAAAUUUAAAUAAUCAUCAAUUAAUGACAAUUAAUGAGUAUAGAAUGCAGUUUAAAAAUGUUUGUUGGCUAUACCUAUGUUGGUUCCCUAGCGAAAUUCUAAAAAUAAUGAGCCAUAUGAUAGGAAUUUGGAAAACUAACUAAAAAAUUGAAAAGUGAGACAUGCAUGCUUUGGAACAAGUAAAUAACACUGCACAAGAAAAAUAAUUGCCCGACAUGAAUAAUAAAAACCUUAUUUUGUUCUUUUUCAAUUUUUUGGUCUAAAUUAAGUAUGAAAUUUAAGAAUUAUGUUUGAAAUCUAGCAUCGAAAGUCCCUCUUUAUUUAAUAGGUUUAUUGGAUUAAGAAAAUGAUAUGUUUCCUCGUUACUGAUACCACAUGUCAUUAUCACUUCAAAAAUUAUUUCUAAUGCAAGUUUUAAUUUUAAAAGAGUUUAAUUAUCGUACAGAUCAAAAGUAAAACCUAAAAAAAUAUUUCAUUAAAAUUAUAAAAAUCAAGAAUUAUGUACGAAAUUUAAGCACAUUCAAAAAAUCUUAUUUAGAUUUUUAUCAUUUAUAAAUUAAAAAAUAAAAAUAGAAAAAAAGUGGGACUCAUUAUAAAAUUUAGGCUUAUUCUUUUUCAAUUAGUUGUCUAAAUUAAAUAUUUUUUAGAAAUUGUACCUAAAAUCUAUGCGCAUAUUAUGAACCUUAUUUUUUAUUUACGAUUUGGAGAAUUUCUUUUAUUAGUUUUGGAUGAUUUUUUGUUAUGUUUUAUAUGUUUUUCCUUUAGGAUUUGGAUUAUUCUUUUUUUUUGUGUUUUGUAUGUUUUUUUUUUAGGAUUUGGAUGAUUUUUUAUCUUAUAUUUUAUUUUUUUUAUUUUUUUUAGAAUUUAGAUAUUUUUUUUGAAAGAAAAAUUAGGAUUUGCUUGAUAAAUAGCAAAAAGUAAAUUAGAAUAAGAAGAGGUAAUUAAUAAUCAUUAAUUUUGUAUCUUUUAAAAAUUAAAAUUUAAAUAAUCAUGAAUUAAUGACAAUUAAUGAGUAUAGAAUGCAGUUCAAAAAUGUUUGUUGGCUAUAUCCGUGUUGGUUCUCUAGCGAAAUUCUAAAAAUAAUGAGCCAUAUGAUGAGAAUUUGGGAACUAACUAAAAAAUUGAAAAGUGAGACAUGCAUGCUUUGGAACAAGUAAAUAACACUGCACAAGAAAAAUAAUUGACCGACAAUCCCAAAAAAAGAAUUAAGUGUGUGUAAUUUAAAGAGCAUGAAUAAUAGAAAUCUUAUUUUGUUCUUUUUCAAUUUUUUGGUCUAAAUUAAGUGUGGAAUUUAAAUAUUAUGUUUGAAAUCUAGCAUAGAAAGACACUCUUUAUUUAAUAGGUUUAUUAGACUAAUAAAAUGAUAUGGGUUCUCGUUACUAAUAUCAUAUAUCAUUAUCACUUUAAAAAUAAUUUCUAAUGCAACUUUUAAUUUUAAAAGAGUUUAGUUACUGUAAAUGUCAAAAGUAAAAUCUAAAAAAUAUUUCAUUAAAAUUAUAGAACUCAAGAAUUAUGUAUGAAAUUUAGGCACAUUCAAAAAAUCUUAUUUAAAUUAGAAAAUAGAAAUAGAAAAAAAAGUGGGAGUCAUUAUAAAAUUUAGACACAUAACAAAGAAUCUUAUUUUAUUUUUUUUCAAUAAUUUGUCUAUAUUAAAUAUUUUUCAGAAAUUGUACCUAAAAUCUAUGCACAUAUUAGGAAUUUUAUUUUUUUAUUUAUGAUUUGGAGAAUUUUUUUAUUAGUUUUGGAUGAUUGUUAUCUUAUGUUUUGUAUGUUUUUCUUUAGGAUUUGGAUGAUUCUUUUUUAUUAGUUUUGAAUGAUUCUUUUUUUUUUUUGUAUUUUGUAUAUUUUUUUCUUAGAAUUUGGAUGAUUCUUUAUCUUAUAUUUUAUUAUUUUUAAUUUUUUUUAGAAUUGGGACGUUUUUUUUAGAAAGAAAAAUUAGGAUUUGCUCGAUAAAUAGUAAAAAGUAAAUUAGAGUAAGAAGAAGUAAUUAAUAAUCAUUAAUUUUGUAUCUUUUAAAAUUAAAAUUUAAAUAAUCAUCAAUUAAUGAUAAUUAAUGAGUAUAGAAUGCAGUUCAAAAAUGUUUGUUGGCUAUACCCGUGUUGGUUUUCUAGCAGAGUGGUAAAAAUAAUGAGCCAUAUGAUGAGAAUCUGGAAACUAACAAAAAAAUUGAAAAGUGAGACAUGCAUGCUUUGGAAUAAGUAAAUAACACAACACAAAAAAAAAUAAUUGACCAACAAUCCAAAAAAAAAAAAAAUUAAGUGUGUGUAAUUUAAAGAGCAUGAAUAAUAGAAAUCUUAUUUUUUUCUUUUUUAAUUUUUUGUUUUAAAUUAAGUGUGGAAUUUAAAUAUUAUGUUUGAAAUCUAGCAUAGAAAGAUCCUCUUUAUUUAAUAUGUUUAUUAGAUUAAGAAAAUGAUAUGAUUUUUCGUUACUGAUACCACAUGUCAUUAUCACUUCAAAAAUUAUUUCUAAUGUAAGUUUUAAUUUUAAAAGAGUUUAGUUACUCUACAGGUCAAAAGUAAAACCUAAAAAAUAUUUCAUUAAAAUUAUAGAACUCAAGAAUUAUGUAUGAAAUUUAGGCACAUUCAAAAAAUCUUAUUUAGAUUUUUAUCAUUUAUAAAUUAGAAAAUAGAAAUAGAAAAAAAAGUGGGACUCAUUAUAAAAUGUAGGCACAUAACAAGGAAUCUUAUUUUAUUCUUUUUUAAUUAUUUGUCUAAAUUAAAUAUUUUUCAGAAAUUGUACCUAAAAUCUAUGCGCAUAUUAGGAAUCUUAUUUUUUUUUUAAGAUUUGGAGAAUUUUUUAUUAGUUUUGGAUGAUUUUUUUCUUAUGUUUUGUUUGUUUUUUCCUUUAGGAUUUGGAUGAUUCUUUUUUAUUAGUUUUGGAUAAUUUUUUUUUUAUAUUUUUGUAUGUUUUUUUCUUAGGAUUUGGAUGAUUCUUUAUCUUAUAUUUUAUUAUUUUUAUUAUUUUUAGAAUUUGGACUUUUUUUUAGAAAGAGAAAUUAGGAUUUGCUCGAUAAAUAGUAAAAAGUAAAUUAGAGUAAGAAGAGGUAAUUAAUAAUCAUUAAUUUUGUAUCUUUUAAAAAUUAAAAUUUAAAUAAUCAUCAAUUAAUGGCAAUUAAUGAGUAUAGAAUGCAGUUCAAAAAUAUUUGUUGGCUAUAUCCGUGUUGGUUCCCUAGCGGAAUUGUAAAAAUAAUGAGCCAUAAGAUGGAAAUCUGGGAAACUAACUAAAAAAUUAAAAAGUGAGACAUGCAUGUUUUGAAACAAAAAAAUAACACUGCACAAAAAAAAUAAUUGACCGACAAUCUCAAGAAAGAAAUUAAGUGUGUGUAAUUUAAAGAGCAUGAAUACUAGAAACCUUAUUUUGUUCUUUUUCAAUUUUUUGGUCUAAAUUAAGUGUAAAAUUUAAAAAUUAUGUUUGAAAUCUAGCAUAGAAAGACCCUCUUUAUUUAAUAGGUUUAUUGGAUUAAGAAAAUGAUAUGGUUUUUCGUUACUGAUACCACAUGUCAUUAUCACUUUAAAAAUUAUUUCUAAUGCAAGUUUUAAUUUUAAAAGAGUUUAGUUACUGUACAUAUCAAAAGUAAAACCUAAAAAAUAUUUCAUUAAAACUAUAGAACUCAAGAAUCAUGUAUGAAAUUUAGGCACAUUUAAAAAAUCUUAUUUAAAUUUUUAUCAUUUAUAAAUUAAAAAAUAGAAAUAGAAAAAAUGUGAGACUCAUUAUAAAAUUUAGGCACAUAACAAAGAAUCUUAUUUUAUUCUUUUUCAAUUAUUUGUCUAAAUUAAAUGUUUUUCAAAAAUUGUACCUAAAAUCUAUGCGCAUAUUAGGAACCUUAUUUUGUUCUUUUUCAAUUUUUUGGUCUAAAAAAAGUGUAAAAUUUAAAAAUUAUGUCUGAAAUUUAGCGCAGAAAGACCCCUUUAUUUAAUAGGUUUAGUGGAUUAAGGAAAUGAUAUAGUUUCUCGUUAUAUCAGUAUCACUUCAAAUCCAAUGCAAGUUUUAAUUUUAAAUGAGUUUAGUUACUGUACAGAUCAAAAGUGAAACGUACAAAAUAUUUCAUUAAGAUUAUGGAACUCAAAAAUUACGUAUGAAAUUUAGGUAUAUUCAAAAAAUUUUAUUUUGAUUUUUAUCAUUUAUAAAUUAAAAAGUAGAAAUAAAAAAAAAGUGGGACUCAUUAUAAAAUUUAGACACAUAAUAAAAAAUUUUAUUUUAUUCUUUUUAAAUUAUUUGUCUAAAUUAAAUAUUUUCAAAAAAUUGUGCUUGAAAUCUAUGCGCAUAUUAGCAACCUUAUUUUGUUCUUUUUCAAAUUUUUUUUGUCAAUAUUAAAUGUGAAAUUUAGAAAUUAUGUCUAAAAUCUAGUGCAUGAAAAACUCUCUUUAUUUAAUAGGUUUAAUAAAUUUUAAAAAUGAUAUAGUUUCUCGUUACUAAUACCACAUAUCAGUAUCAUUUUAAAAAUAAUUUCUAAUAUAAGUUUUAAUUUUUUAAAUGAGUUUAGUUAAUUUACAAGUCAAAAGUGAUACCUAAAAAGCAUUUUCUUAAAAUUAUAGAGCUCAAGGAAUUAUAUAUGAAAUUUGGGCACAUUUAAUGAAUCUUAUUUUAUUUUUUAUUAUUUAUUAUUUAAAAGGUAGAAAUAGAAAAAAUAGUGAAACUUAGUAUAAAAUUUGGGUAUAUAACAAGAAACGUUAUUUUAUUCUUUUUCAAUUGUUUGUCUAAAUUAAAUGUUUUCAAAAAAUUGUGCAUGAAAUUUAUGCGUAUAUUGGAAACUUUAUUUUGUUCUUUUUUAAUUUUUUUGUCUAAAUUAAAUGUGAAAUUUAAAAAUUAUAUCUGAAAUUUAACGCAUAGAAAGACCCCUUUGUUUAAUAGGUUUAAUAGAUUAAAAAAUAAUAUCUCGUUCCUGAUACCACUUGUCACUAUUACUUAAAAAAUAAUUUUCAAUACAAGUUUUAAUUUUAAAUGAGUUUAGUUACUGUAUAAAUCGAAAGUGAUGCCUGAAAAUUUUUUCAUUAAAAAUUAUGAAAAUCAAGAAUUAUAUAUAAAAUUUAGACAUAUUUAAAGAAUUUUAUUCUAAUUUUUAUCAUUUAUUACUUAAAAAGUAAAAAUAGAAAAAAAAGUGGAACUCAAUAUAAAAUUUAGGUACAUAAUAAAGCACCUUAUUUUAUUUUUUUUUUAAUUUUUUGUCUAAAUUAAAUCUUUUCCGGAAAUUAUGAGUGAAAUGUAUGUAUGCGCAUACUAGGAACCUUUUUUUGUUCUUUUUUAAAUUUUUUUUGUCUAAAUUAAAUAUAAAAUUUAAAAAUUAUGUCUGAAAUCUAAUGCAUAGAAAUUUUUUUUAUAUUUAAUAGGUUUAAUAAAUUAAGAAAAUGAUAUGGUUUCUCGUACCACAUAUCAGCAUUAGUUCAAAUAUGAUUUUCAAUAUAAAUUUUAAUUUUAAAUGAGUUUAGUUAUUGUACUGGUUAAAAGUGAUACCUAAAAAAUAUUUCAUUAAUAUUAUAAAAAUCAAGAAUUAUAUAUGAAAUUUAGUUACAUUCCAAGAAUCUUAUUUUAAUUUUUAUCAUUUAUUACUUAAAGAUAGAAAUAGAAAAAAAGUGGGACUCAAAAUAAAAUUUAGGUACAUAACAAGGAACUUUUUUUGUCUAAAUUAAAUAUUUUAAAAAAUUAUGUCUGAAAUCUAUGGGCAUACUAAGAACCUUAUUUUGUUCUUUUUCAUUUUUUUUAUUUAAAUUAAAUGUGAAAUUUAGAAAUUAUGUCUGAAAUCUAGUGCAUAAAAAGACCCCUUUUAUUUAAUAGGUUUAAUGGAUUAAGAAAAAGUUUAAUUACUCUAUUGGUCCUUAUAGUUUCGCAAAAUUUUCAGUUAGGUUUCUAUAUUUUUUUUCCUUUUAAUUGGAUCUCUACACCAAUUUUUUAAUUACUGCUAAGAGGGACCUAAUUGAAAAAAAAAUGGUGUAGGGACCCAAAUAAAAGAAAAAAAAGUGUAAGGACCCAAGUAAAAAAAAAGUGUAAGGACUCAAUUAAAAGGAAAAAAAAAGUAUAGGAACCUAAUUAAAUUUCACGAAACUAUAGGAACCGACAGAGUAAUUAAAACUUAAGAAAAUGAUAUGGUUUCUUGCCACUGAUACCACAUAUCAGUAUCACUUCAAAAAUGAUCUCUAAUGCAAGUUUUAAUUUUAAAUUAGUUUAGUUACCGUACACGUAAAAAAUGAUACUUAAAAAAUAUUUUAUUAAAAUUAUGAAACUCAAGAAUUAUGUAUGAAAUUUAGACACAUUUAAAGAAUCUUAUUUUAAUUUUUAUUAUUUAUUACUUAAAAGAUAAAAAAAAAAGUGAGGCUCAAUUAAAAUUUAGGCACAUACAUAAGAGGAACCUUAUUUCAUUUUUUUAUUUUUUUGUCUAAAUUAAAUAUUUUUCAUAAAUUAUGCCUGAUAUUAAUACGCGUAAAGAAAACUUUAUUUUGUUUUUUUUAUAUGUUGUCUUUUUAUUAGAGAUAUCCAUGACUAUGUUUUCUCUAACUUCCAAAGAAACAAGAAUUCUCUUUCCACUAUGAUCCGUUUCUUUAAGAUUGUUCUCAGAAAAAACCUUGAUGAUGAAUAUCUAGUGAGAAUUUUCUUUCCUUCACCCUUCCUAUCAUCUUUUUUUUUCUUACCAGCAUACUAUGCUCCUCAAUAUUUAUGCUUUUUAGUUUUGAAUUUUUGAUUGUUAGUUAGUUAGAGUAGUAACUGAAUCAACAAAGCUGCUGUUAGGGAAGGAUAAUUCUUAGAAGGUUGUUAAGAGGUUGAGUGAUACAAAUAGAGUGAGUGGAAACUUAUCUGAAAAGUUUCUAUAGUGAAGCAUAAUAAUAGUGAAACUUAUCUGGCCAAUGUUGUGUUAUGAUUGAGUUUUGAUAAGUAUGGUUACCAACAACAGUUCAGUAGGAAAUAUGGUGGUGAUAUGCAAAAUCCAGUGCAACUCCAACCUCCAGAUGGCACUGAAUGGAGAAUAGAUUGGACUAAUCAUGAUGGUGAGAUUCUGUUUGAAAACGGUUGGAAAGAGUUUGCUACAUUUUACACUUUGGAGAAUGGUCAUUCUAACAUCAAAGUACACAUAUUCGACAUGAGUGCCCUCGAAAUUGAUUAUCCUUCCAAUGGCCGAAUCGGUGAUGACAACUCGAUGAACCGCCAGCGCGAAGGGGCCGAGGCCGGCCAAAGAAAACAGUGAUAGCAGAACCAAAGCAAUCAUGUUCUUCUACAAGCCGGAGAUGUUUGUAUCUUUGAGCUCAUUAACAGACAAGGUCCAGAUCUUAAGGUUCAUUUUCGUCAAAGCCAUGAUUAGCGAAUGGCUUUGCUUACUUGUGUUGCAGAUCAAUGGUGUAUGUUCAGGGAUCAAGAGUUGUAACACUGAGUCAUAGUUUUCAUCAUACUAAAUGGUUCCAUUGCAGUGUUAUCUCCUUACUACCAUAACUAGAAAUAUAUAAGUGAUCCAUGCAGAAACAACACAUGUAGAAUUAUAUAUUGUUGGUAGUAUAAGAUGUUAUUUGGACAAAGUACCUAAUCAAAAGUUGCCCGACUACUUAUUUUCAAAGCAAUUUAUGGUUUGGAUCCUAUUUCACUCAUUCUCCCUCAUUUAUUAUACUUGUCACUUUUUAGAAACUUACUAACUAUUUGCAGAGUUGCAGUAAUUACAUAAAAAAUUCCAAUGUAAAUAACUUUUAAUGAGUGUAUAAUUUUUUUUAAUUCAUUGUAUUGGACUAAUUGGUAAAUUGUUACAAGUUUAUUAUUUCAUAUUUAAACAAACAUAAAAUAAAAGUUAAUUUUGCUUACUUUAUGUAAGAUAUAGGUAUGAAUAUGUCCAUAAAUUCUGUCAAAUUUGUUGAGAAUAUGUUCCAUUACAAUACACAAUCUUGUGUAUGAAAUAAGAUCCACAGGUACUUUUCUAAUUUCUGAUUUGUAGUGAGAACAACACUGCAACAAUUAAGUGUGAAAUGUGAAGAAAAACAUGAAUCCAUGUCACAACUCUUAAUGACUAACAUAAAUAAGCAUUCAUGACUAACAUUCAAGUUUGAUUUUAACAAAGUGGAGUGACACAUUUCUUAACCAAAUUUCUUGAUACAAGAACUCCAGAUACUCUAAAGAUUGCCUAAUUAAGCAUCCUGAUACUCUAAAGAUUGUCUAAUUAAGCAUCCCUUCGAAAAAUAUGAGCAUCAAGUUCUGCACCUUCUCUGUAAACAAGCUCAAAGAUACAAAUAUCUCCAGCUUUCAGGUUAUUGACAAAAUGGCAAUUUUCUGAGUUGGAUAAUAGUUCAAUGUUACAGGCCACUGUUUCGUAACAGAAUAUUUGCAUGACAUGAAAUGUUUCUGACAGAGACAAAUGUGUCAACUUACUGGUGAAGAUCCAGAUAGUUGAGUUUGCCUUAUCUUGGUUAUGAAAGAGGGAUUCUUUGACUUGAACUUCUUUGCUUUUUGAACAACUUUACAUGUACACCAUAAAAAAUUUGCAUAGAAGUUACUUGUAGCUAAGUUCAAGCUUCAAACAACACAGUAAUUUUUAUUCAUUUGAACGAAAUUUAAACACAGACAAAGAACAAUAAGAUACUUAUUGCAUAGUUACAUGAAAUGCAAUACGUUCUGGUAUGGUAUGCAAUAUGCAUACGCUACCUAUCUGGUGAAUUUGUAACUAUGAUUUAUGCAUUUUAGCCACAAAAGCAAUACAUUAGAAACUACAAAAAUAAAAGGAUGAAAUGAUCAUGAAAUUACAUACUAUCAGGAUCAACACUGGCACUUUAAAUUGUUGGCAUCUUAAGACCUGUCUCUUCAGAUUGACUAGCUUCUUCAAUUUUGCAACACUGCAUCCAGUUUUGUUUAUCAGGGCCCUUCUCUACAUCUCCAGUUUUGACAGAACUCCGCAAUGUAUUACUUGUAGAAGGAGAUGAUACUUCUACUGCUGCUUUCAAUUUUUUCCUCGGCCGGCCUCGGCCUCUUCGUGGCAGUUCAUUCUCAACCUUAACCAUGUUGGCAUCAUCAAUGUGGUCCUUGGAAGGAUAGUCUAUUUCAGGGCACCUAGUUUUGGCAGAACUUGUGAACAUUUUACUUGUACAAGCAGAUGGUGUCUUUGGUGCAGCUUUCUCUGUUUUUCUCGGUCGGCCUCGGCCUCUUCUUGAAGGAUAGUCUGUUUCAGGGCACCGUUUCACUGCUCUAGUCUUGGCAGAACUUGUGAACAUUUUGCUUGUAGAAGGAGAUGCUGUGUUUGCUGCUGCUUUCUCUGUUUUCCUCGGCCGGCCUCGGCCUCUUCGCGGCGGUUCAUUCUCAACCUUAACCAUGUUGUCAUCACCAAUGUGGUCCUUGGAAGGAUAGUUUCUUUCAGGGCAGCAUUUCACUACUUUAGUGUUGGCAGAACUUGUGAACAUUUUACUUGUGGAAGGAGAUGGUGUCUUUCGUGCUGCUUUCUUUGUUUUCCUCGGCCAGCCUCGUGGCGGCAGUUCAUUCAAGAUCUCAAUCGAAUCAUCAUCGCUGAUGUGAUCCACGGAAGGAUAGUCUAUUUCAAGGCAAGUCUUGUCAAAAAUGUGUACUUCAAUGUUAGAAGUUUGAUUGUACUCAAACCACAGCAAAUGGCCAUGAUCCAAAGAGUAAUAUGAAGCAAAUUCUUUCCAACCAUUUUCAAAUUGAAUCGCACCAUCAGACUCAGACCAAUCCAUCUUCCAUGCAGUGCCAUCUGGAAGCUUCAGAUACACUGGAUUUGGAACACCGCGACCAUAUUUCAUACUGAACGUUAUUGGUAUCAUCUGCAAUUCAAAUGAAAGUAUGAAACUAGUCUUAGUAAUAAGCAUAAAUGAAAAAAAAAACCUUACAAGGGAAAAAUCACAAAGAGAAAUGCAUGCAUUAAAUAAUAUUAUAAGUAAAGAGGAUAUGAAGUGAAGAAAAUGCUUACAAGCUUUCCAUCUUCAAGGCUAUGUCUGAGAACAAUUUUGAAGAAACGGAUCACAGAGGAAGCCAUGGAUGUGGUGGUGGAUGGUCUCUACUCUCAUGAAAGUAUAUAAGCACGUACUUAUAUACUUUCAUAGGGGAUUAAAAUUCUAGUGGUAGUUAAAAAUGGUUUUAUCCUUAAUGUAUCAAUAAGGCUCUUAAAUCUGGAAAAGAAUAAAAAAUUAUUUUAAAAGAAUUCUUAACCUCUCCAAUUUUUAUAAAUUUUAUUUGAUAAAUAAAAAAAAGUUUCUCUCAAAAUAGAAAGCACAAAUUUUGUACAUUAGUAUUCUAACAAAAAAAAAAAAAAUCCUACAAAUAUUGGAAUUAUAAUAGACAUAAAAUUAAUUAUAAUUAUUUUAUAUUUUAUUUAUCUUCAAUCUUUUUUAUGAUAUACUAUUUUAAUGCGUUCAUAGAUUCAUAGGCAAAUUACAAUUUUGAAUCAAAUCCAUGAAAAAUUCUGCCUCACUUUUUUAUCCUUAUACCAAACACAACCUUAUCUUUUACUUUGAGAAGAUAACAAUGCAAUCAUGAAGUGGCAGCAAAACAAAAAAUAAAAUUAAAACACUUAGUUCAUACAUAUAAAACUGGUCCACAACAGAAAGGAUUGGAUACAGUACAAGUUUGAUUCAACAGAAAAAAAAAGAUAAUACAUUCUUCACGAAAUUAACCUUACUUAAAAAUUAAGAGUUCUUAGUUCCUGAAGUUAUAAAACAUUGGCCUAGCACUGGGCUCUACAGAUAUGAACAUCAAACAGAUCUUUUUUAUUGAUGAGCUCAAAAACACAAACAUCUCCAGCUUCUAAUUUACUUGCUCUGGCAAAAGAGCUCCAACCAGCCGAAAUAAAGCUGUUUUUCGAUGACGGAUUGUAGAUAAUCGUAGCAGGCCACAACUCCUUUUCGAACUGUAAUUUUACAUCCUGUUGAUUCUUUUUAAAAUACUUUCUGUAAAAGAUAGCUGAUAAGUUCUGCAUCACAUUCCAUUUUGAAUCACCAUGGUCAAAAAUAAUUAUAAACUAAAAAAUUUGUGAAACUAAGUAUAAACUAGCACCCAGAAGUUUGCAUGGCAUAUUAUGUUUUGUCAUGGAUAAAAUGUAUCGAAAUAAACUUACAGGCCUUGAUCUCCUUGGAUCACUGUCUUUUAUCUUGACCAUGAAAGAGGGAUUUUGUGAGUUGAGCUCCUUAGCUUCUUUCGGGAGCUGAAUCACACGAGUCACUGGUUUGGAAAGUGAUUCUGAUACAUAAAAGAAUUGUAAAAAAAUUAGCAUGAAUUUUACUUGUGAAGAGUUUUGGAUACAAGUAUAUCUAUAGGGUUGGAGACAACAAAAAUUUUAGCAUAAGAUUAGUUUAUAUAACAAAUUGUGGUUACAUUAAGGACCAAAUACAUAGUCACUGCAUUCAUACUGCAUUCUUAGCAAAACUAACAAUAGUUUCCUUAAGAUUGAAAUUCUGCUGCUAUAAAUGUUUCAAGGAAGGGAAGAAUUAGAAAUUUGUAAAAUGUACUCCAAAUCAAACACGGGGUCAAUUAAUUUUUAAUAUAAUUUUUUUAAUGAGGAUAAUGCUAAAUUCUAUUCCAUUUUUAAAGUUAAUUAUGUAUUCAAUGUUGUACUAAUAUCUUAAUUUUUUACAGAAUAACACCGCUUAAGAAUCCUAAACAAUUGCCUUACCGCGGCGUUGUCGACGACAAAUGUGAACAUCAAACACCGGAUCCUUUCUAUUGAUGAGCUUAAACAAACAAACAUCUCCGGCUUGUAAUUUACUAGCUCGAGCAAAAAGGUUCCAACCAGCAGAGAUAAAGGCAACACAUGAUGAUGGCCUAUAGAUCAACUUAACAGGGAACAACUUCUUUCCAAACCUUAUAUUUGCAUUUUGUGGAUUAUUUUCAAAAUACUUUCUGAAGAAUUUAGUUGAAAAGUACUGCAGCACAUCAUAUUUAUAUCAUCAUGGUUAGAAAUAAGACACAGUUUGAAAGAACGAUAGCACAUGGAAGUUCACAUGAUAUAUGUAUUAACCUAUACUUACACAUGGUGCUCUCGUUUGAGACCGUUGCGUUAUCUUGAUGAUGAAAGAGGGCUUUUCCCGCUUAAACUUCUUAGCUUCUUUCAGAGAUUCAGGUCUUGCAGGACAGAGCCUAACAGAAGAUUCAGAAUCUUUUCUUCUUCUAUUCCUUUUGCCUUGGACAUAGGAAAUAAAGAAUCAGAAACUACCACUAUAAUGUACA